rnacentral:lncRNA from 1 species
AUAUACCCCUCAACCUGGCCAUCCAAAUUUCGAGCCUUAAGCAAUCUCGGCAAUCCUUCACCUGCUAGCAGACAGAGAUAUGGGGAUACUGGAUCCCCCUCCCAUAUGCCUCUUGUCGAUGUAAAGUUCUUAGUCAAGACACCAUUGAACAACAAUGAGAAGGAAACUGAUCUUACUCAUGGCAUCAUGGCCUACAUGAAGCUAUUGGCCAAACCAAGUUUUAGCAUAAUCGCCUCCAUGUAACUUCAUUUGAGUCGAUCAUAUGCCUUGUGCAUUGUUAGAGUAAUCCAAACUGGUAUGUGUUAGUUUGGUUAGUGUUCGUGAUCAGAGUUGCCGUGAGCUUAGUUUAGUUAAGUUUGAAUACGAGUUGGAUUGGGAUUGGUGUUUGGAGUCGGCUUGCUAGCCAGGUUGAUGCAUAUAUAUAUGCAGCGUUGUGUGAGUUUUGUACACCAGAAAAACGAGAAAAGCAAUAAAGAGAUAUUUACAAGGCACGACACGUGCCUCUGAACAUCUUUGUGUUGAUGCGUUCACGUGCGUGUGUUCUGGUCUCGGUGUUUGCGUAAGCGCCGGUGAGGUAUCGAGUUGCAGGGUGAUCGUGUGUUUGAUCCUGAGAGCGAAAAGCCAACAAUUGGUAUCUAGAGCAAGGUGUGGAGGCUUCGCCGUCAAGUUGCGUCAUGGUGGAGUCGUCGUCGCCGUCAAGUUGUGUCACGGACGACGGAAAAUCGAAGAAGAGGAUCAUGUCGACUUCGAAGGCGAGUGGUGGUAGUGUGACCAUCCAGUACCCCAUGCUUGAUGGUGAAAAUUAUGGGGUGUGGGCCGCGAAGAUGAAGAUCUUCAUGCGUGCGCGUGGAGUUUGGGCAGCGGUGGAAGGUGAAGGCGCGGUCGAAGAGACAAAGGACCAAGAGGCUUCCGCCGUCAUAGCCCAAGGUGUGUCUGAUGCCGUUUUCAUGUCUAUAUCGGAGAAAGAGACGGCAAAGGAAGCUUGGCAAGCGCUCAAGGAGAUGCAUGCUGAAGAUGAUCGUGUCAAGAGGGCACGUGUUCAAGCUCUAAGGAGGGAGUUCGAGAGGAUGAGCAUGAAGGCGUCAGAAGGGGUUGGUGAAUUUGCGUUAAAACUAACCUCCCUGGUUCAUGAGAUGCGAGCUCUCGGAUCAAAGAUGGAGGACAUCGCGGUUGUGGAGAAAUUACUACGAGCCGUUCCCGACAAGUUUUUACCGAUAGUUGGCACCAUCGAGCAGUGGGGCGAUGUGACGAAGAUGUCAGUGAUGGAGGUGAUCGGGCGGCUAAAGACCUGUGAGUUGACAUUGAAAGGACGGGAACGCGACCAAGAAGAGGAGCAGUUGAUGUUCUCGCGCAAUAAGGAGAAAUAUAAGCAGAAGUACCGGAAGUUCGGCAAAUCUAAAGUUCGGUGCUACAAUUGUCAGGACUACGGACACUAUUCUCGAGAGUGUCCUGAUCCGCGGAAGGAGACAAAGAAGGAGCACGAGAUUCUGCAACUAGCUAAAGUUGACGUGGAUGACGGUCCAGGGUUGCUUUGAUGAAGAAGCUGGGGCGGGAAAAAAACAAAAAAAGAGUCAUGUCUUUAGUUUUUGUUUGUGUCUGAGUCGUUAGUGUGUCUUGGCGAGAAGACGAAGGCCAGCGUGAAGAUGGAUGCGCACCAGUUAAGUUGAGUUCCUGCAUGAGAGGCUAUGUGUUUAGUCUGCAUGUAGCACGCUAAGAUGUGACGGCGUGGGCUGGUAAUCCAGGUGAUGUGUUGGUUCCAAAUCGAUGAGUCGAGUGUUUGGAUUAGGAGGUGAAUGUUAGAGUAAUCCAAACAGGUAUGUGUUAGUUUGGUUAGUAUUCGUGAUCAGCGUUGCCGUGAGCUUAGUUUAGGUAAGUUUGAGUACGAGUAGGACUGGGAUUGGUGUUCGGAGUCGGCUUGCUAGCUAGCCAGGUUGAUGCAUAUAUAUAUAUAUAUAUAUAUAUAUAUAUGCAGCGUUGCGUGAGUUUUGUACAUCAUAAAAACAAGAAAAGCAAUAAAGAGAUAUUUAUAAGGCACGACACGUGUCUCUGGCCAUCUUUGUAUUGCUGCGUUCGCGUGCGUGUGUUCUGGUCCCGGUGUUUGCGUAAGCGCCGGUGAGGUAUCGAGCUGCAGGAUGAUCGUGUGUUCAAUCCUGAGGGCGAAAAGCCAACAUGCGUAUCCAACUUCCAUGCAAAAUUAAAGGGAGUUAUUUUUACGUCUCUUGCUCUACAAAUAUAUAGUGUAAUUACUCAUAUAUUGUGAUGACAUUGACUGUAAUGAGACUGUUAGGCACAAAGGCCGAUUACUCUUCGAUAUCACUUCAGGGAGGAUUUGUUUCAGCCGGUUGACAAGCACCUUAGAUGCAGUCCUAAAUAGACCAUCCUACAGAUAUUGUAGCUCUAGGGUAUGGUGACCACGAAGCAACUCAUGAUGAGAUGGCCGACGUCUUCCCCUGUAGGGAGGCCCAAGGUGCUGUCAUUGUGGUGCGGGAGGGCAUCUUGGACCAUAUGACCCACCCUCUAAAGGGACGGUCUCAUUUCAAGAUCAUGCAAGAGGGUGCUAUCUGGUACGUGCUUGUUAAUAGGAGAGAGAGUUUACAACGCCAGCAAGUAAAUACAAGUAACGAACAUGAAAACGUUCGAGUGAAGAUUGCUGUAGAAGCCUGAUGUAAUGUGCCAUCAAUUGUGGGAGUUUAGAGAGGGUCCUGGUAUUGCUAGCUGAUAUUACAAAGAUUGUAGCUCUAGGGCAUGGUAACCAUGAAGCAACUCACGAGGAGAUGGCCGAUGUCUUCCCCAGCAGAGAAUCUGACAACUUCACAGCGCUUCUCAGCAUACAAUUUCCAAACGGCAUCAGUAUUAAGGAACGCCAGCAGUGGGCCGAAGAAAGUCUGGUAAACAGAACUGGCUGAGUAAAAUUCUUGAGGCCUCCCAUCCCCACGGCCAGUUGUUGUCGAACUCGUGCUGGAGUGAGGUUUGAAUGGAGGAGAUACAUAUGCAGGGUGCUGGACAUCCGUGACACUACAUAGGCUUUUCAUACAUAUGUAUGCGACAUGAUUUUGGAUGAAGGAGUCUCUAACCUUCCUACUCGCAAGGACAUAAGACCACGUGGUAUGUUAAAAGGAGAGCGUGUGUAUGACACAAGUGAACCACCUGGGUAUUGUGUUUCAUCUUUAGGCUGUUGGGGAUGUCCAUGGCAUUUCCGAAAACCAUUGGAAACAGAGCAUCUCCUUGCAUGAGGUGCGGUUUUGGCGUGCUUAAACUGUGUGUUGUUUGUUGUUUAGUGACAAAAGCCCACAAUGACGUCUUUAACAUGCGUGGUGUACAUUUACUUGAAAGUUCAUAGGAUAUUUUUAAUAGGUCCUUGGGCUAGCAGGAAUGAUUUUUCUUUUAGAAUACACACGAAUGUACGUAUCAUAUAUUCAAGAUAGAAAAGGCUAGAAAACCAAAAUAUAGCUUCGCCCGCGUUCGUUACAACCACGCUAUGAGCAUGUCCUAACUGAAACAGCUAUACUAUGUGUUAAGAUGCCCACUCAACAUGGUCAGGAAGUGCACACACUGGUCACCAAGAAGCAGUCUGGUCGUUAGCCAGGCAUGCCCUCCUGUUGGAUGUUUGAGACUGGCAUGGAUAUGGAGGGGGUUGCGCUCUCACAUCACCAAAGUGAGGCUCGAGUGCAUGUUGCCUAUAUAUGCCUUCAUGGCGCGUUUUUGGAGGUGCACCAAUCUAACAGUACCCUUGCGCCGUAGGAGCCCAUGCUGGUUGCCCUAGGCACAUAGUUGGUGCGGCCGCCCACAGCGUGCCAGCCUACCAGAGGUCCAGCAGCGGUUUUGUAAGGCCAGCCAAUUGUAGAACCUGCAUGUUAGGGGGAACACGAGACUUCCAAGUAAAUUCCACUACUGGUGCAACCUCCCGGCGUACGAACGGUGCAGCAUAGGCCAAUCUUAUAGAUAAUGUGUCAUCCGGCUCCCACGUCCACUUGAGCACAUGAACUGUUGCACUUUCAUGACGUUCAGGUUUGGUCCUACGUCAAACGUCCAUCCUAGCAGGAAUGAUAAAUUUUGAGUAAUUAUUAUAUGAACCUGCAGGAUAUCAUAUAAAAUCCUCUGUUCCUGGCACGAAGUUUUCUCUCUUUGAAUUCUUGUCAAAAUAAAAAUAUUAUGGAACAUUUGAAAGGCUAUUUUCAGUUGUAUGUGUGUGUGUGUUCGUCAAUUUAUUGUAGCUCGGGCUCUGUCCAAGUACCACAUACCCUCAUUACGUCUGAGUCGUGUAGCACCCCAAUAUUUACGGUUGGACUAUCUAACUUCUUGGUUUAUGGUCUCUUUCUCCAUGUUUUCUCAAGGAGUAGAUCACGAUCUUUUUGGUAUCCAAUACAGAUGCAUGGCAUGAGCCUAUAUCUAGGGACUAGGGCGUGCUUGGUUGUCUGCACUUUUUUUCACCCCUUUGCAUGUGUGACUCAACUGGGUUUGGUUGAGCAAAUGCAAAAAAUCAUGUCAUGCGUGUAGUUCGGUUGUGUGCAUAUAGGUUCGCUGUACGAGGAAUGCAAUUUUUCCCUACCGUUGAUGGCCUCCCUUAGCUGAGCCAAUGCACUGCACUAUGUUUGUUAAUACACGAACAUGAUUAAGAGUUAACAGCUACAGAUGACAUGUCAAGUCACGAUAGUGUUGCGACAAUUAGUGUGGACGAUGGUCAUGCCUCUGUGUUUGUCAUGACGAGCACGGAGUCGUGCACGAGCUCAAUCGACGGCACAUGACUUAUCUGUUGGUAGUAUCGCCGUGGUAGGGGAAGUCCGCGAGAAGGGGCAAGGAGGAGAUCAUUGAAACAAUGGACGCAGAGGACAAGUGCAGUGUGUGUGCAAUGGCGGCAUCAGUUUAGUAGACCCUCCGUAAGGAGCCAGAGAGGAACGACGCUAGCAACAGUGACAUACAUGACAUGACAUACAUGCACUAAGGCUGGCAAUGAUCAGUGAGAACAGUCAUUGAAACAAUCACAUGAACAUGUUAAUAUAGUACCACUUGACAUAAGUGGUAAGCUAUAUCAAAAUCAAUGAACAUCUUAAUAUAGUACAAUAGGCAGAUUCAUAUAUACUCGUCUGCGACUAUCUAAACAGAAAGCAUACAACUAAAAAGUGGUGUGAAACGAUGAGAUGAAGCUAUUGGUCAAAAGGAAUUUCAAAUAGUCAACCGUGCGCAACAGAGUUUGAUAGAAUGCGUGUAAAAUAGCUCCAAAGAUGAACAUGAAGCCUGUUGGAGCCUCUUGGAUCCGACGCACGGUCAUCCAACACUCAUGUGCAGUGGUCAGACGUGGACUACAAUUCUCUAGGGGAAAUGCACCAAUAAGACGCGUGGGAAUAGGACGGGACGACGUGUGAAGACGGUUUAUAUUUAAAAAUGUUUGCAAUGCUUCUACAUAGCAAUCCACCAUUACCUAAUAACGGUCACGUGCCCACAUUUCAUCUUGUAGAACCAUGUGAGAUGACAAAACCCUACUCACAUUCACUGGCGAGUACAUGGAAAUUCCGAAGGCUCAUUUUUCAUGGUGUCAAUUCAACAUGUCAAUCUUCCCGCAAUGCUAAGAACCAAACCCACGUAGACACCGUGCAUACUCACACCAUCUCGAGCGGCUUCUCCAAUGUUGUUCCUAAGGCUUACAAGCAGUUCACCAACCAUUUCACCGUGUAGUCCCACGGAAGACGUACCUCAUGAUGGUUUACACCAACGAGCCGCACUGGGUGCACAACUGCAUCGUCACAAUCGAGCGGUUUCUAAAGGAGGAAAAUUACAUGGUGCUCGGGUUCGACCCCGACUACACCGACGAGCUUGUCGGGCAUGAUCAGAAGGCCAUCGUUGCCUAGUUUUGUGUGCGCCAGCACGUCGUCAUCUACCACUACUUCAUGGUCACGAGGCCUUGUCAAAAUUCUGCAUGUUUGUCAAUAGCCCUGAUCAUGUAUUUGCUAUGAUGAACACCCCCCAACGAUGCAAAGGUGCUCCAUACUUCGGGCAUCUCCUACCUGAAUCUUUUUGACAUCCAGAAGCAAUACAAGAUCAUCGACAACGGGAAGCAGCAUAACUCCCUGGUUGACCUCACCACGGUCAUCAUCAACCCCUUCUACGUUGGCAUGAAUGCCGUCAAGAACAUGCAUGUUUAGCACUCGGUCUAGGAGGACGGACUAUACCAAGACCACCUCCAUUAUGUGGCCAAGGAUGCCUACACAAGCUACAACAUGUAUAGGUUGAGGGUGUGCCUCCUUUCCCUUGCCAAUGAGGGAUCCUGCUGCAACAGCAGCACUAGUGGCAAGCAUCACAAGAAGUGUUAGAUGAUGGAUGAUCAUUUCAUAGUUCAUGUAAUUAUGCAUUGAGGUGUGCAAUCUGAUGUUUAAUACGAGCGCGCCAUUUGCCCUCGGCCACGUGGCCUAACAAAUGGGCCCGCCCCAACAGCUUUACUGUCAAAACGAGGUCAAUCGACUAUUUAGUACUUUCGGCUACGGUUUACUGAAAAACGGUGGUUCCGGUAAAGUUUUAUGAAAAUGAUGGGUUUUUUUUUUGCACCAAACAAUGUAAUUGUGGUGGUUUUCGGCAAUUUACUCUAACUUUUUUAUGUCUAACAAAUUUAUUUUUCUUCUGUUUGUGUCCCAAUAACGCCGCACAUGGUUCGCUCCAAGGAAAUGCGAUAUGUUGCCAUUGAUCUUGUGCACAAUCAAACAAUUGAAUGUAGCGUAUAAUCGCCGCAUUCGCUUCCCUAAAACAACAAUUCACUUUUAUCUAGUAUCUUAUACAUAAGAAUUAUAUUUUCCAACAAGUAACUUCACAUUUAAGGAGAAUUUAACAAAGGUGACAAAUCCAGCUGGCUCUCUAAUCUCAUUAUUCCGCAAAAGUUUACUUUUGUCCUGCGUGGCCCCAAGACAUUUUUCUAUGGCUGAAACUGGGCCUCGACCACGCCUCGGUGGGUGAGUGUGUCCAUCACACAAAAAUAAUAAUAAGAAAUGGUACCAAAUGAACCAUUAUUUGAAACUGCUGGUUCCACACGAGGUAAGAUUUGUACAUUCGUCAUGCAAUGAAAAAUAAGAUAUAGAGUCCCAUUUGACUUGUUAAAAAGACAAAUAGGAUUGAAGGGGCGUGAUGGCUAGUAAUUAAGAUCCACAGAUAAACUCCUGCCAUCCAUCACUUUAAAAGGUGUAUCGUUUACUCGGUGCUCUCAUCCCAUAUAUUCAAUAUUGAACAUUAACUAGUGGGGACAGGGCCUAUAGCCCCGGUCCGUAAGGGGCUUUAGUCCCGGUUCACGAACCGGGACUAAAGGGGCGGGACUAAAGGCCUAACCUUUUUGUCCCGGUCCUCUUACACGCCGGGACUAAAGGUGCUCCACGUGGGCGCCUCGUAGCGCCUCAGGGACAGGCCCUUUAGUCCCGGCUCGUUACACGGACUGGGACUAAAGAUUUUCAGAUUUUGCUGGUUUUUGGCUUCUUUUUUUUUAAUGAAAUUAUUUUUGGGUUUUAGGGUUUUAGGGUUUAGGUGUUCGGGAGAUUAACGUGAUGCCUCGUUUGGUGUUCGGGAAUUAGUUUUCAUAUAAUUUAAGAUAGAAAUAAUUAUGCAUAUAUAUAUAUAUAUAUAAUUAACUUAUCUUACAAGCGAGCAUAUAUAUACAAUUAUAUGGAGAUCUGAAUUAUCGGGACUAGAGCCCGUCUAUUCGAUUACAUGGACGGGCAUCAGUAAUGGUCUCGCAAACGUAGUAUCCGCAUAGAUGCGUUCCCCGUGGCUGCUGGUCGCACUUUACGAGAAUAGAAUAUAUAUAAUCAAAAUAAUAAUCUAGCAUCAUAAAUGUAUUAAAAAUUAAUAAAAGUAUAUCAUACUACUACUUACCUGAGCCGCUUUAAAGGUCAGCUUCUCAUGAAAGUUAACGGGAGUCACGCACUUGAACCGCUUUCAAACCCUGCCCGACAAGGAUAAUGAUUUGCUCAGUUUUUUAUUAAUUGAUAUAUCAGAAAAUCAUCGAAAGAGACCGAUAGAGCGCAAGAAUGAUUAAAAUUACCCUUGGAGCAUGUCAUGCAGGCUUUGAAACUGUUUCAAGGGUCUCGAUAAUGGGUCGAAGGCAUCAACUCUUCCCUUAUCAAUUUGAAUGUCCAACAGAAUCCAAUGAAAGCUGCACAUGUAUAUAUAUAUAAGUGUCAGUAACUUAUCAAUUACACUUAUAAGUGAAUGGACACAACAGAGUAAAGACCCUCACCUGAAGUUGUAUGGAAACAGUAUGUGGUCACAGAAAUUUUGAUCUAUUAGAAACCUUAGAAGGUUUUCCUCCGUCUCCUUGGGAUAAUUAGUUAGCGUCGCUAUAUGUAUUUUAUCUGGGUCAAUAAACCCAAUAUUUAGGAUGCACUUACUUUUACAAUACAGAAUCUUCAUUCUGCAUAAUAGAGUACAAGUUAUAUAUAGACAAUGAAUUGAAAUAACUAAACAAGUUAUAUGUAGACAACGAAUUGAAAAACUUACAGACAAUAGCAACUCAUUAGCGAUUUGUCGAGGGCGUCGCCAUUGUACAUCUGGAAGAGUUCAUCAAAGUCGAUAUGGAUUUGUUCAGGGCGGCCGUAGUACUCCUUGGGGACACUCAGCACGAUCAUCGUUCUCCCAUUCUUUGAUUCACUUAAGUACCAUUGAUGCAAGUAACGCAUAUUUGUUGGGAGAUCAUCUUUGCUGACCAAAGGCUCACCCAAGACAAACUGUGGCUUAGGGGCUAUCACAGCCUUGGGUAUCUUGUCGUCUUGGAAAGACAGCAAUUCUUCAACCGAGACACCACAUGCAGCCGCCAACUUCUUUGCACUUUCUAAACCUAGACCCUGCAUCGAAGGGGGAACAUUCUCGGUUAACACCUUAAGGGGUGGGAUCGACUGUUUGGCCUGUUGUCGAAGCUGAGGAACGUCUGAUUUUUUUUUGCUUGUAGUUGAACUUGAUUUGCUCCCACUUACACUUGCACGUGAUCUGCUCUUUUUCACUUCCAAUAUAGCUAAUACACCACGCGUAAUACUGAGCUCAAACUCUAGAGAUUGUUCUUCCAAUAUAGCUAGUACACCGAUUAUAAAAUAGCAGACCAAUGUGUUUGGGGAGGCGCCAAAUGGAAUUUCCAUCUAUAGGAAUAGGAGGCAUGUGGAAGUUGGCAAGAUCAAUGUGACAACACUGAUCAGGCAUGUAAAUCUAUCCUGAUCCCAUAUAACAAUAUCGCAGAGUGUUGCUCGUUUUGUGAUGCUGGUUGGACCAUAGAGCUAGCUGUCCCAAGAAUCUUAGAAGCUGGUGUUCUGGUAUCUAGUGUAGGUGCAACCACACCAGUAAAUAAUCCAUCUAAUAAGUUAACUUCAGUUACACAGGCUCUGUCCAUGCUGUGAAUCUCUCCGAAUAAUAACAAUACAAAUCACAUAAACCUUUGAUGGAGACCGUCCCUGUUCGAAACUUCUAUAUCCACAUGUUGGUUGAACUGUGCUCCCAUGUUACGUUCCAGUCCACCACACCUCUCUACACAACCAUCUUGGCUUUGGUACUCUGUUUACACCCAUGGCUGCCUAGUUCCUUUAAGAUUCACGGGCACUCCAUGUACAAGGCAGAUGAGAAGAUCUCUCAUAGAAUUAGUGUUGGUUAUAUAAUAGGGCUAACAUUUAACAUACAGGUAUUUGUUUAAGAAACCGCUACAUUUUUGCAUACGUAUACUCAACACAGAGUGCUAAAUAAAGUUAACAUUGACUAAUCAAUUUAUGUUUGCACCUAUAAAUGUUGAACUCCACUUCCACAUACUAGAAAUGCAAAGUAGCUCAAGGAUUUCAAAUAAACAAACAAUAGAGAAGAUUGAGUAUUGCGAACACAACGUACAAUAAUGUGUUAGAUCUCAUGAUGAAGUGAGAAGUGGGCUAUGAUGAAGCCAGAAGGGCCACCUUCCAACGACACCAUAAAUAUCGGCAUAGCACACAUGGUUUCUCCUUACGGCGUGGGGAUGUACAAUCUCCAUGAUGCAGAGGCGAGAGACGUCAUCGCAAGAUUGGAUUCAAUCGUCUCCUCUCGGUUGCUAAGGCACGGCAUUGCUAGCUGUGGAAGAGUUAUGGGCGUACGAAAUUACGAAUCCAUGUGGCAUUGCUUCCAUGGGCAUCAUCUAAUAGGAGUUAGGAGGGUUGAUGGAAGUGUGGGGCAAUAGCCUGACCGAGGGCGUAGCACGUCCGGUUGAUCGAAAUCUACUAUACACGAGUGAGGGUACUGAUAGCUCCCGUGAGAAGUGAGAACCUAAUCUGGACUUUGAAGAGAAAACCUAGCCCCCACAUCUCCCUGUGUGGGUAACUCUCAUGGCGACAUCAUACCCCCUUCCUCUUUCCUCCUCCAAUCCGACCACGCCCCAGCCGCUGGUCGGAGCCACCGAAGCAAUGUCUCUCAUGGUGGCUGGCGGCAGGGCCUCUUUCUCCUCUGCUUAGGGCACCCGAUGUGUGGUGGCUUGGCCGGCGGUAGCAUCGGGCACGAGCAUUGUCGGGCGGCAUGCCGAAUGUGGCUCACGGAAGAACUUUUCUCAUGUAGAGCGACCAAUAACAAGGUGGGUGGUUACUCACAGUGUUGUGGUUGCGCGCACGUAGUAGCUAUUGUGGCUCAGAUCUGGACCACUAGAUGCCUCGGGAAGCUCUAGGGCGUCUUCACUGGUCUGGAUCCGGCACACCUGUUGUGAGCAUGACCGCCAAUUGGUUGGCUGCUGGUGGGUGUCGCGAGCUGGACAGGGGGUUGGAGGGGAUGAAACCCCUACCAAUGACAACCUUGCUUUGAAUAGAGGGUGUUGGGGAGGCUCCGGAUUGGAGUUGACGGGCUCAUCGGUCACGUGAUCGGUGUGGUGCGGCUCCGUGGUGGUGAGAGGGGUUUGUCGACUACUAGGUAGAGAAGACCCACUUGUCCGUGCUGGUUCCAGCCACCAUGUUGUGCACCCCUGCCUUGUGAUUCCUUCUUGAUGUCGGUACAAAUUGAGCUCCCGGGAGCGCCCAUGCUGUCGAUGGCCAUUGUCAUGGCGGUAUGCAAGCUCGCUUAGGACAUGGCCAGACGUGUAAGGUCGGGAAUCGCUUAGUGUUGGUCGUUAGAAGACACCGUGUCCUCUCUUCCACCAAGAUCGUUUGAUGACGCGGUGGAUGUUGACCGAGACCCGAUGACCGAUGUCGGGCGAGAAGUGGAAGGAGGUGCCUUCCACUCUUCCUAAUGUGGUUGGUGUGCGGUAAUGCAGAUGCUUGGUAGUGUAUUGGGGCAUAGAUGCCAGGGCGGCAACCCAGGGAUGACGCUCCGUGUGGUUGGCUCUUCGAUAGGCACCAUGGAAGUAGUGGUGGCUUUGCCUCUUGGUUGCCUAGGCGAUGAGGAGGGCAUAACGGCGUGUGGCUCUGGCUCGCUCUCUAUCGUUGGUAGUGGCAACGCCCAAAUCCGGAUACAAGGACUUGUGUUCUUCGCGGUUGUUGUGGUACCUCGUGGUGGCAUGAGUAAGCGGCCAAGCGAAAACUCUGCACUUUGGCACUAACGAUGGCGAUACUCGUGGGUGUCUCUUUCCUCAUGAUGACGUCGUUGUGGUUUUGCUCUCCAUGCCAGGGUUCCAAGUGAAGACCUAGGUCCAUCUCGGGCUCGUCAGUGGCGACGCCUAGCAUCAUUCCACCUGAUGAGGGCUUUGUUGUGAUGUUAUCGUGUACAUUUGUGUUGUUCAGUUAUCCUCGGAUAUGCUUUGUAAGGGGGGCUCCUUACUACUCUAUAUCAUUUGAUCGUAUUGUAGUUUAUGCUUGCUUUAUGUAUAAAGCAGGGAGAGAGCCUAUUUCGCGAACGGUAUUGACAACUACAGCAGGGUUAUGGGACACGAUCAAUUGUGCCGACCCAUCUCCGGUUGCACGUAUCGCUGACAGUUUGGGUUUUGGGGACCUUCCAGAAUAAUCCUCGUCGGUUUUUAUCGGUAUUGGAAACCUUCUAAAAGGCUUUGAACCGGUUUUUUAUUCUUCUUUUGCUGUUUCUUUUUCUUCAUUUCUAUUUUCAUUUUUUCUUUUCUGUUUUUUUCUAACUAUACAAUUUCAAACAACAAUCAAAUAAGCGACUUUUGCUCGCGUUUCAAAAAAAAAUUCAGUAUAUCAAGAAUUAUUCGAAGUUUCAAACAUUCUUUGAGUUAUACGCUUUAUUCAAUUUUAUCAAAAAAGUUCCAUUUUAAAAGAGAACCGACGUAUACAAAAAAUAUUUAGGACUUUCAAAUUGUUCUCAGAUUUAAUUUUUAUCUAAAUAUGAAAAGCUAUACCCGUUUUCAAAUUUUGUUCACCAAUUUUUUAAAUGUAUGCGCUUUAAAAAAAUGUUCUGGAAUUUGGAAACUUGUUCACGUUUUUACAAAAACGUUUCAAGUUUUAGGAAAAUGUUUCUGUUUCUAUUUUUUGAACUACAUAUAAAAAAACCUUUGGUAUUUUCAAAUUAUUAUCACGUUCAAAAUUUUGUUUUGCAUUUAAAGAGUUGUAUCUGUUUUUAAAUUUCAUUAACCAAUCUUAUACAAUGUUCUGGAUUUAAAAAAUUUGCAUUUUACGAAAAAUGUUUGGAGUAUUAAAAUAAUGUUUCCAUUUUUUGAUAUUUUGUUUCCGAUGAAAAGAAUCUUUGAGAUUUUCAAAUUGUUCUCAGAUUAAAAAAAACUAUAUUUCAAAAGUAGUACUCAUUUUCAAAUUUUGUUCAGAAAUAUAAAAUAGAUUUGCAUUCUCAAAGAAUUAUGUAAUUUGAAAACUUGUUCUCAUUUUACAAAACAAAUUGAAAUUUUGAAAAAUAUUUGCAUUGUAGAAAAUUGUUUAGAUUUUAAGAAUAUGUAAAAAAAUUAAAGUACUCUUACAAAUUAGAAAAACGUUCAACAAUUUAACAUUUCUCUUUAGUUUCAAUAGAUGUUCAGAUUUUUUUUAAGAAGUUCCAAUUUGUUCAAAAAGUAUUCAUAAUUUUCAAAACGUUUUUACGUUUUUACAGUUUAAGCCAUUGUCUUCGCUCAUGACACGUCGUGCCACUGCCACACAUUUGUCAUUUAUGCUUUGUAGUUGUAGUUGCAAGCCUACCUACAUAGCUGGCCCAUCAGCACGGGAGGCCACAAUAUCGUUUUUCCGCUUUUGUUCACCUUUUUUGUUUCCUUUUAUAUUUUUUACUUUUCUUUAUAUUUUAAAAUAUAAUAACUGUAUUAUCGCCCGCACGAGUUCAAUCUCGAUGGGCCGGACCAGUUGGCUGCAACUUGUGUGAGUCGACGUCUUUUUACCGCAUAUUGUGUUAAAUGUGUCCGAGCCCACUAUUUUCAAUUUUGCACAAUACGCGUCAGUUCAUGUGUAUUUUUUUAAUUAACGCCUCAGGCGUCUGUAAACGGGCCAACCAAUCUACGGCGUCGGUGGACAAUUUUCUCUUUUUGCAAAUCUGAUGGAUUUUCUUAAAUUUUGAUUAACUUUUUCAAAAUUUCACUGUAUAUUCUAAGAAAGAUGAACUUUUCUCUGAAAAUUGAUGAAUCUUUUCAAAAAUAUUAGAAUUCUAUUAGCUAUUUUGAAUAUCAAUGAACUUUUUUUAAAUUAAAUGAACAUGUUUUUGUAAAUGGAUUUUUUUAAUCAAAAUUGAUGAAUUGUUUGAGAUUUAUGAACUUUGUUUAGAUCGAUGUAGUUUUUUGACAUGCUUGAAUCUUUUUUGAAUUUCUAUGAAUUGUUUCCAAUUUAAUCAAACUUUCUAAAAUUGAAUAAAAAAUAAUAUCAAUGAACCUUGUAAAAUUUCAUAACCUUUUUAAUAAAUUGAUGAACCGUUUUUAAUAUAUGAAUUUUCUUAAGAAAUGGAUGAACCUUUUUUUAAUUUCAUAUUUUUAUUUUCGUAAAAUAGAAAAUCUAGGCGCUUUCUUCUACUGGAUCACCAGAAAAAAACUGAUUAAUAAAAAAAGAAACACUGUACAGCGCAUUAGUGGGCCACAGUUUCCUUUUUUACUUUUUUUAUAUUUGUUCCUUUUUUGCUACUUUUUAUUUUGUUUAUACUAUAAAUAUUACAAAAUGUAUAUAUUUGAAAAACUCCCAACUGAAACAUUUGAAAGUUUUUGAAAAAUUAUUUGAAAUGUAUUAAAUAACUAUUUGAAUAAUGUUUAAUAGGUAUUUGAAAAAAAUGGUAAUGUAUAUAAAAAUGUUAGUCACGUAUAUAAGAAAAUAAUGUUGGAAAAAUAUUUGAAAAAAUGUUGUAAAAGUAUCUUAAAAAUGUUGAAAAAGUAUUUGAAUAAUGUUGAGCAAGUAUAUGAAAACAUGUUGAUCAUGUAUAAAUAACAUGGUCAACCAGUAUUUGAAAAUGUUGAAUAACUAUUAAAAAUAUUAAACAAGUUUGUGAAGAUGUUUAUUAACUAUUACAAAUGUUCAAAACUGUUGAACGAGUAUUUGAAAAAUAUUCAACAUGUAUUUUAAAAAUGUUGAACAAGUCUUAAAAAUUUGAAAAAGUAUUUAGAUAAUAUUGAACAAGCGCUCGGACAAUGUUGAACAUGUACACAAAAAAUGUUGAUCACUUACUAAAAUAUGUUGUUGACAUACACGAAAAUGUAGAGUGAUAACGAAAACGAAUGUAAAAAAAGAAAGGGAGAUGAAAAAAAAUAAGGAAAAGAAACAAAAUGCAAGAAAUCCAAAAAAAUGAAGAAACAAAGUGCAAGAGCGAAUGAAAAGGAAAUGAAGGAAAAAUAAAAGAUAAAAAAAGUCCGGAGAAAUAAAUAACCUCCGGUCGAACAUGAACCCAAGAGUGGCGUAGUGGCAAGCAGCUCUUUGCAUUAUCGAGACAACCCAGGUCCGAAUCACCUUUCGCCCUAGUUUUCUUCUACUUUUUGUAUUUCUCUAAAUGCUAGUGGGCUGCCCCGAUUAGUCGAAUGCUUCAAUGGUUGAUCCUUCUUCAAUCGCUUAUGCGAUAAAUAGCUCCUCCCGAAUAGGUGCUUCCCUAGGUGAGACCCGACGUCUUCCCCUAGAGAGAAGCCCAAGGUGUUGUGUUUUAGUGAGGGAGGGCAUCUUGGGCCAUACAACACGCCCUCGGGAACGCCUGCUGAGGGACGGCCUUCUAAAGGCUUCCCAACACUUCAGAGCCCAUAGUUUUCAAAAAGCAUGAGCACCGUGAAAGACAAACAUUCUAUUGCUGAACACUUGUAAACAGAACCGGACUAGUACAAUUCCUGAGGCAUCCCAUCCCUCUGACUAGUUGUCACCUAAAGUCCAGGGGUGGAGUUUGUAUAGAGGACAUACUCCCACAUUGAUUCUUCGGAAAUAUAUAAAGAUGACUUUGGAUGGAGGAGCCUCUAUCCUUCCUAUUCGUGAGGACAUAAGACCACAUGCUCGGAGUAAAAGAAGAGCAUGUAUAUGUCACCAAGGCACCACAUGAGUAGGCCAUUGAAUACGUGCAUGACAUUUUAGAAAAGCAUUAAAAACAGAACAUCUCCUUGCAUAAAUUGUGUGUCUGCGUGCUUAAAUUGUGGGUGGUGUUCUAUUUAAUAUACAAGCACACAAUGGCGCCAUAUGAUGUUUUCUCGUGUCAUUGACAUGCGUGGUGUAAGAAAUCGCACCAUUUACUAGAAAAUUCAUAUGAUAUUUUUGGGCACCUCCUUCAGCUAGCAGGAAUGAUGAUUUUUUGACUAAUUCUAGUAUCAACAUGCAGGAUCUCGUAUAUAAUUGCUUGUUUUUGGCACGAAGUUUUCUCUAUUUAGAUUUUUGUUUUUAUAAUAGACUCCCCCUUUUAUUCAGGUGUCAAGAUAGUAGCGUCAAAUACAAAGAUUAGAAUGAUCGCACUAGAAGCCGAAUCCACCCAUAAUUCAGGAGGAGAAACCUUAGCUAACCUAGCUAGUGGGCUACUUAAUUACUCUCUCUAAAACAGUGAUAGUAGAUUACAUGGGUAAAAUGUAAGGUCAUAAAAUAGCAAUCAUUGAAGAUUCAAGUUUUCUUUCUUUAAAUUCUUGUAAAAAAACUAUGGCAUCUUUAAAUGGCACUGCACUGGUGAGAGUAAGACGACGUCGAGCAGAAAAGUGUAGUGACAAAUUGCGUGGUGGUCGGCUGGUCUCUCUAAAAUUUAAUCGAGCAGGAAAGUGUAGCAUCAGCAACCGCAAGCAGCAACUUUAAAGAAAUGCAGCGACAACCAGCAAAGCUGGGAAGAGUGAAGCGAUUGGUUUUUUCAGGAUUGAUAUUGUACUUGACAAAUAGUUGUUGUCUAUUUGUUCGGUCAUUAAUACUUGAUGAGAUCUACAUUUUGUGUGUGAUUAAUAUCAGUUGUCUAAUUUUAGAGAAAUUGUAGUUACCAUAAAUUUUACAUAGACACCAUAUUAUUUAUUUAUUUUUGCGGAUGAUGGACGACAUAUUAUUUGUUGAUGGUAAAUAAUUAUGCAAUCGAAAUGACUUAAUACAAUUUGUUGUAAACAUAUAAUAAUUGUUCAUACUGUGCACAUGAAUCUGAGAGAUAAUCUCACACAGAGGUGAAGAGAGCCAAAAGUACUCCAGUGGGUCCAUCUCUGAAGCAAGCCACGACCAGCCCGUCCUGUUGCACAAGUCUGUAGAUUGCUGCUAUGAGUUGGCAAAAUUGACAUUCACAUAGGGCACCAAGUGUUGCAAGUUGAUCUUGCAUGACCAGUUGCUUCAGAAGAGGUUGAUGGAGCCGUGGCUCAAGAAGGCACGGUACAUGUACCUUCCUUAAAUGGGAAAUGCAAAACGUAAAUACUUUGAAGGAAGAUCCUCGUGUUUGUCCAGACCAUCAGCCGUCAACCUAAGUGCGUUGUUGUGCAAUUCGUCCAACGGCUUCGAAAUGGCAUAUGGGCUAGCGAAGACAGUGAAUGAUCUCUAAACAGAUUGAUAAACAAACCGGACAUGGUAAAGUCCCUGAAGCCUCCCUUUCCCAUGACCAGUUGUCUAUUGUGGGCUAUACGUUUUGAAGCAGCACUAGACAUGUGUGAUCCCUCUUUCGUCAGGGAGAGCCUCUCCGUCCAUCUUAUAAACGAGAUGAUUGUUGCUUUCUUGAUUGAAGAUGACGCAAUCGGUUUAAAUGGAGAGCAUAUAAAUGUUGCACAGUACCAGUGCAAUAAUAUGCUCGUGCUUAGCUGUUGGGGAUGUCCAUAACAAUACAAAUCGGAGCAAAAAUAAAUAUCUUAGAAAAUUCUUGUCAUGCAUUUAGUUCAUCCAUGGGACAAGUAAAUGUACAAAUUCAGAAGAGCAUUCUAAUGUACAGAUUAAUCAGAAAAUAGAAUUCUAAAGAGCUCAAGGAAAUGUCAACUCGAAUUAUGUCCAAUGAGUACGAGGCACAGUAAAAUCAUUGUCCUGCAUACCGGCUGGCGGCAACCUAAAUAUGUAUUUGUUGGUGUGGAAACUAAUGCCCACCGACCUGCUAGCUAGAUGGGAGGACCAACCAAUCUAGAAGACCUUCAGCAUGCACCCCAUGAAACGAUGUAGAAUUUGUUGCCUCCUUCUUUCACAAUCCCAUCUUCAGGGGCAAUCAAUCCCAUCUACCGGAACUAAAGGCUGAUGAUAGACAACACCGGCAUCAUGCGUGCCCAUGAAAAGCGUCGAGAAGUCGCUGCAUCUCCCCGCCAAGAGUCGGUGUUUUUCAUAUUGUAGAUGGCACGCCACUCCACCUUGCUCACCACACGUGAAGCAUACAAAAACUUGGGCCGAGCCACCAAGCCAAACACUUGUCCCUCCAGCCGGUGUAUCACCCCAAAGAUGAUGCCCCGUCGGGGUGAUGACGUAGGAACCUCACCAUCAUCCGGUUCGGAAACCUGAAUCCCAGGUUUCUCCUGGGGCAUUCAGAGAACCAGAAUCACCCCAUAACACCUCCAACGAGGUAACAACGCCCAUGGGUGCCUCCAUGUUGUGAAUACAACAUGGGGAUGUUGUGAUGUCUGGAAUCUUCGUGAACCGGUUUUGCAACGUGGGUCAUGUAGCAAACUCCUGAGCACAACAUGGCUCCUGUUGCAGACUAACCCGCAUGGUUUGGAACAUGUGUCAUGUUGCAAACUCCCAACCGCAACAUAGGUCAUGUUGAAAAUGCAACUCGGGGGGGGGGGGGGGUAUGGCAGGCAUUACAACGAUGAGGGAAUCUAAUGGGUAGUUAUGCCAUCAUCUAACGGCGAACGAGGCAGCAAAUCUUUUCCUGUUUUCAGUUGGCUCAGUUCUCCCAAGUGUAGGGGUGUCCUCCUUUUAGGACGUCACUCCGCUUUUUUCAAAAAAAAAGAUGAUGCCUUGCGCGUUGCUGCAGCAAACUUAUUAAAUAAAUUAAAAAGUGUUCCAAAAUACAAUGAAAACUAAUGCCGACACAAACAUAGUAGUUUCUCGGUCAACAUUUUGAUAGAAAAUCAUAGCAAGUAAGAAAUUGAUGUAAAAAAGAAAAAAUUGGAGUUAGUUAAAUGAAAUUUCAUGUCGUACCAAAAUAUAAACCAUGAACUACAUAGGUACAUCCAACACAUAUAUCAUCAACGACAACAUAAAAAUUAACUCAAAAAUAUUAGUUAUGACUGCCAUGCAUGACAUGCUUAUGUGGCAUAGUUGCAUAAAUAGAUUAAUGCAAAAUAUAACUUAUGAGUGUCAUAUAUGACUUGUGUGAGAGGAUUCUAUGGAUAGAAGAAACAAGUAGCAUGUUGCUACUACUUUCAGUAAUAAAGGAUAAAGGUUAACAAGAUGAUCCUUUAGCUAAGAACCUAGCUGAAUCUAUUAUGUAGCAUUGGUUAUCCAACUAGUCACACAAUAAAUUCACCAAAGAAUGAACCCAUGACGACUAGUAUUUAAUUUAUGAAAAAUUGCAAAAUUAAGAAUGAGCAUAACCUCAAGGAUCGCCCCCGCGAGCGACGGGGAGCGAACCCUAGCCGCUACGCCCUCUUUCCCCGCCUACAUCCAUCCCUCUGUUAGAAAAAUGCCCUAGAGUCCAUAAUGUUUCCAUUUUUUGUUUUUUUGUUUCCGAUGAAAAGAAUCUUUUAGAUUUUCAAAUUGUUCUCAGAUUAAAAACAAAUCUAUAUUUCAAAAGUAGUACUCAUUUUCAAAUUUUAUUCAGAAAUAUAAAAUAGAUUUGCAUUUUCAAACGAAUUAUAUAAUUUGAAAACUUGUUCGCAUUUGCAUUUUUUUUAAAUUUUAAAAAAUGUUUGCAUUGUAGAAAAUUGUUUAGAUUUUCAGAAUAUGUACAAUGUUUAAAGUAUUCUUACAAAUUAGAAAAACGUUCAGGAAUUUAACAUUUCUCUUUAGUUUCAAUAGAUGUUCAGAUUUUUUCAAGAAAUUCCAAUUUGUUCAAAAAGUAUUCAUAAUUUUUAAAAAGUGUUUACAGUUUUUGAAGUAAUGCCCAGUUUAGGCCAUUGUUUUAGCUCAUGACAGGUCGUGCCACACAUUUGUCAUUAAUGCUUUGUAGUUGUAAUGGCUAGCAUAAUUCAUGCACAAACUGGAGCUCUGUAGCUCGAAUUCCAGCUUUGGUGCUUCUUUAUUUUUACGCAUUACCUCCCGCGCCUGUUCAAACACGAUGGCCCUGCCCAUUCGGCCGCAUCAGGUGCGAAGGGACAUCUUUUUGCCGCAGAAUGCGUCAAAUAGGUGGUGUCCUUUAUGUCUCGCCUUUGGCGAGAUGGGAGAAACCCCUCGCUGAAGGGCGUACCUACAUGUCCGGCCCAUCAGCACAGGAGGCCACGAUAUCUUUUUUACGAUUUUUUAUACCUUUUUUCUUUCCUAUUUUAUUUUUUACUUUUAUUUAUAUUUGAAACAUUAUAACGGAGAGCUCCUAGUCGGCGCCUUAAGCGCCAGCUAGGAGGACCAGCGCCUACAGGCCCUGCAAAAUGGGCCGGCCCAGUUCCAUAGCUAAUUUUUCUAUAAGAAAAACAAAAAAAACAAAAAACAAAACUGCAAAAAAAAAGUUCAUAAACGCAAAAAUGGUUCAUAAGUUUUGAAAUGGAAGUUAAUGAAUUUGAAAAAAAAACACUGUGAUCUAAAAAAAAGUUCAUAAAUUUUCAAAAAGUUCACUGAUUUUGAAAAUGAGUUCAUGAAUUUUAGAAAUGUUUUAAAGAAAAUUCGUUGAACUGAAAAAAAGUUCACAAACCUUAAAAAAGUUCAUAAUUUUUGAAAAAAGUUCAUGCUUUCGAAACAAAAGUUCAGAAAUUUUGCAACACAAAUCACCAAAAUUUGGAAAAAGUUCACCAAUAUUGAAAAAAGUUAAUGAAUUUUGAAAACUAAUUCAUUAAUUUGGAAAAACAAUUUAUAAAAUCAAGGAUGCACUUUUUCGAAAAAAUAAAAUAUAAAAAUAAAAUGAAAAUGAAAAAGGUAAUAAAAAGAGUAAAUAAAAGAAACAAGAAAAAAAAGAAAAACUAAAGAAAUCAAGUCCUAAAAAAACUAAAUGAAAAAAAUCUGGAAAAACCGCCAUCCCACUGGGUCGUCACAUGACCGGCGCUGCAGGCACCCGUUAAGAAAAAUGUAUUUUAACCGAGGCCUAUAGCGCCAGAUAGGAUUUGCCUUAUAACUGUAUUAUGGCUCGCGCGACUUCAAUCUCGAUGGGCAAGCCCAGUUGGCUUUAACUUGGGUGAAUGGACGUCUUUUUGCGGCACAAUGUGUCAAAUGCGUCCGAGCCCACUAUUUUCUACUCCCUUCGUCCCAAAAUUAAUGUCCGAACUUUAUACUAGCUCGAGACACUUAUUUUAGGACGGAGGGAGUAUUUGGCGCCGUAUGCGUCAGCUAACGUGCAUUUUUUUAACGCUUGUGGCGUUCGUAAUCAGGCCGACCAAUCUAUGGCGCCAGUGGAAGUUUUAUGAACUUUUUUUAAUAUUGAUUAACUUUUUAAAAUUUUCAAUUAAAAAUGAUGAACUUUUCUCUGAAAAUGGAUGAAUCUUUUCAAAAAUAUUAUAAUUCUUUUAACUUUUUUGAAUAUCAAUGAACUUUUUUCAAAUUAAAUGAACAUCUUGGUGAAUUGUUUGAGAUUUUGAACUUCUUUUAGAUCGAUGAAGUUUUUUCUAAAAAACUUCAUUUUUUUGAAUUUCUUUGGACUUUUUCCAAUUUAAUUAAAUUUUCUGAAAUUGGAUAAAAAAAUAAUUUCAAUGAACUUUUUCAAAUUUGAUAAGUUUUUGAAAAAAUUGAUGAACCUUUUUUUAUUAUAUGAACUUUUGCAAAAAAUUGAUGAAACUUUUUUUAAUCUGUAAAACUUUUCUAAUUUCAUAUUUUUUUCGUAAAAAUAGAAAAUCUAGGCGCUUUCUUCUACUGGAUCAAUAGGAAAAAAACGAUUAUUAAAAAGGAAAAAUUGUACAGCACGUUAGUGGCCGGCUCAUGAUUUUUUGACUAAUUCUAAUAUCAACAUGCAGGAUCUCAUAUAUAAUUGCUUGUUUUUGGCAUGAAGUUUUCUCUAUUUAGAUUUUUGUUUUUAUAAUAAACUUCCCCUUUUAUUUUGUCAGGAUAGUAGCGUCAAAUACAAAGAUUGAAAUGAUCGCACUAGGAGCCGAAUCCAUCCAUAAUUCUGGAGGAGAAACCUUAGCUAACCUAGCUAAUUCGUGGGCUACUUAAUUACUCUCUUUAAAACAGUGAUCAUAGAUUACAUGGGUAAAAUAUAAGGACAUGAAGUAGCAAUCAUUGAAUAUUCAAGUUUUCUUUCUGUAAAUUCUUAUAAAAAAACUAUGGCAUAUUUAAAAAGGCACUGCACUGGUGAGAGUAAGACGACGUCGAGCAGGAAAGUGUAGUGAGAGAUCGCGUGGUGGUCGGCUCGUCUCUCUAAAAAAUUUGGUGGCGACGGAGGGGCAAUAGCACCUGGCUGAUCGCGGCCACGCCUGGGCAGCAGCAGUAGCAAGCAUCAGCUACGGCAAGCAGCAACUUGCCAAAAAAAAGCAACGGCAAGCAGCAAAGUUGGGCAGACCGGCAGAGUGAAGCUGGGCAAAGUCCAUUUCUGAAGCAAGCCACGACCAGGCCCUCCUGCUGCACAAGUCUGUGGAUUGCUGCUAUGAACCAUCAAAAUUGGCACUCACAUAGGGCAAAUGUUGCAAGUUGAUCCUGUAUGACCAGUUGCUUGAGAAGAGGUUGAUGGAGCCGCGGCUCAAGAAGGCACAGUCCAUGUACCUUCCUUAGACGGAAAAUGUAAAAUGUAAAUACUUCGAAUAAAGAACCUCGUGUUGAUGCUUGCUCUUGCUUGCUACGUGCGUUGCUGUGCAAUUCGUCCAACGACUUCAAAACAACAUCUGGGCAUGCGAAGACAAUGAAUGAUCUCUAGACUGACUGAUAAACAGACCGGAUAUGGUAAAGUCCCUGAAGCCUCCCAUUCCCAUGACCACUGACCAGUUGUCUAUUGUCGGCUAUACGUUUUGAAGCAGCAUGAUACAUGUGUGAUCCCUCUUCGGUCAGGGAGAGUAUCUCCGUCCAUCUUAUAAUAAGCAAGGUGAUUGUUGCUUUCUCCAUUAAAGAUGACGUGGUCGGUUUAAAUGGAAAGCCUAUAUAUGUUGCAUGGUACCAGUGAAACAAUACGCCCGUGCUUAGCUGUUGGGAUGUCCAUAACAAUACAAAUUGGAGAAAAAAUAAAUAUCUUAGAAAUUUUUUAUCAUGAAUUUAUUUCAUCCAUGGGACAAGCGAAUGUACAAAUUCGGAAGAGCAUUCUAAUGUACAAAUUAAUCAGAAAAUAUAAUUCUAAAGAGCUCAAGGAAAUGCCAAAUCGAAUUCUAUCGUAUGAGUACUAAGCACGGUAAAAUCAUUGUCCUGCAUACGGGCUGGCGGCAAGCCAAAUCUGUAUUUGUUGGUGUGAAAACUAGCGGCACCUUCAAUGCCCGCCGACCUUUGUAUUGCGUGAUGCACAUCGCAAUCUUUAUUGCAUUAUUUAAUAUUAUCUUAAAAAUACAUGGAUCAACUCAAAGCCUUCUUCUUCACAAAACCUUGCGCCUACUUACAAGAUUGAUAAUGUGUGAUGACCUCAUGACAUGCACACAAAAAAAUCCGUUUGCCUUGCUAAGCCGCCCACCAGCUAGAUGGGAGGACCAACCGGUCUAGCAGAUCUUCAGCAUGCCCCUCAUGCGCAACCUGUAGAAUUUGUUGCCACCUUAUUUCACAAUCCCAUCUUCAGAGCAAUUAAUGUACUAAUCAAGCUAGACCCUUCUACCGUCGUCGACGUUACCAUGAUGCUACACAACACCGGUCUCCUGCGCACGCCCAUCAAAUGGAGUCCAGCGCUGAGAUGCCGCUGCAUCUUGCCACCUAAAGUCGGUGUUUUUGAUAUUGUAGAUGGCACGCCACUACAGCUUGCUGACCAAACGUGAAGCAUACAGAAACUUGGGCACAACCAGCAAGCCAAACACUUGUCACUCCAGCCGGUAUAUCACCCCAAAGAUGACGGCCCCACAGGGGUGAUGACGCAGGAACCUUGACAUCAUCCGGUUUGGAAACCCGAAUCCGAGGUUUCCCCUAUGGCAUUUAGGGAACCAGAAUCGCCCGAUAACACCUUCAACGAGGUAACGACACACAUGGGCGCUUCCAUGUUGUGAAUACAAUAUGGGUGUGUUGUGAUGUCUGGAAUCUUUGUGGACCGGUUUUGCAACAUGGGUCAUGUAGCAAAAUCCUGGCAAAGCUCGGUCGACGUGGCAGCAGCGGGGCCUCCCAUUCUCCUCUGCCAGCGGGGGCGAGGGGUGGGGGCGCUGUUGUGGGGCGGCGUCCUUCGAUGGCGGUGUUGAGCUUCGGUAGGGCUCAGCAGCACGCCGAUGGUGGUCCAGGGCCGAGGCGAGGUCCUCUCAUGGCGGUGUGUCGACAGCUUGUCCCCGGGCGCAGUGCAAUGACUGCUUGAUUGGCUGGUCGCAGGUAGGUUGGUUUCUGGCCAGAUCUGCCCAGAUCUGGCGCUGGGGAGCUAGCUGGCGGCAUGGGGAGGUUGAGGGAGCUCGGCUGAGAUCAUGUCUCGUGUUGGAGUCCUCAUCGGCAGCCGGGCUAGGGUCGGGAAUGGGGAGUGGGGAGCGAGUGGACAGUGGUCUCUGGCGGCGUGUGGGUGGUGGUUUGUGAUCCGUGUCCGCGUGUGGGUGGAGCUUGUACAAUGCCUUCUCCAGGGUCCGAACCGGAGGCACGUGGGUUGCUUGCACGUCGGGAUGGCGGCAACCUGCAGCUUGUGCUCGGACGGGCCAACUUUGGGUCCGAGACGGUUCAGAGCUUUUGCUCUGGGCAGGUGCGGUAGGCUUGGUCCGUGUAGUGGUAUUUUUAGUGUUGCGUCGGUGCACGGACUAGCACUGAUGAGCAGGCACAUGUCGUCGUGUGAGCUUGCCUAGCCAAGGGCUUGGUGUUGGCUGGCCGGAGAUCUUCUACAGCCUUAGAGUUGUGUCCCUCCCAGUCCACAAGGUAUUGGGUAGGGACGCGGGCGUAGAUGCCUCCUAUGAUGGAGGCGUCUACCCAGACUCGAGGACUGAUACCGGUCUAGGAGUAGAUGGAGUGUCUGUUGGGGAACGUCGCAUGGGAAACAAAAAUUUUCCUACGCGCACGAAGACCUAUCAUGGUGAUGUCCAUCUACGAGAGGGGAUAUUCGAUCUACGUACCCUUGUAGAUCGCACAGCAGAAGCGUUAGUGAACGCGGUUGAUGUAGUGGAACGUCGUCACGUCCCUCGAUCCGCCCCGCGAACCGUCCCGCGAUCAGUCCCACGAUCUAGUGCCGAACGGACGGCACCUCUGCGUUCAGCACACGUACAGCUCGACGAUGAUCUCGGCCUUCUUGAUCCAGCAAGAGAGACGGAGAGGUAGAUGAGUUCUCCGGCAGCGUGACGGCGCUCCGGAGGUUGGUGAUGAUCUUAUCUCAGCAGGGCUCCGCCCGAGCUCCGCAGAAACGCGAUCUAGAGGUAAAACCGUGGAGAUAUGUGGUCGGGCUGCCGUGGCAAAGUUGUCUCAAAUCAGCCCUAAAACCUCCGAAUAUAUAGGUGGGAGAGGGGGGGCCUUGCCUUGGGGUCCAAGGACCUCCAAGGGUUUCGGCCGAGCCAAGGGGGGGAGUCCUCCCAUUCCAAACCGAAUCCAACUAGGUUUGGAAGGAGGAGUCCUUCCCCUUUUUCCCACCUCCUCUUUUUUUUCUUUUCUCUUUGAUUUUCUUCCUAUGGCGCAUAGGGCCUUCUUGGGCUGUCCCACCAGCCCACUAAAGGCUGGUGCGCCACCCCCAAGGCCUAUGGGCUUCCCCGGGGUGGGUUGCCCCCCUCCCGGUGAACACCCAGAACCCAUUCGUCAUUCCCGGUACAUUUCCGGUAACUCCGAAAACCUUCCGGUAAUCAAAUGAGGUCAUCCUAUAUAUCAAUCUUCGUUUCCGAACCAUUCCAGAAACUCUCGUGACGUCCGUGAUCUCAUCCGGGACUCCGAACAACAUUCGGUAACCAACCAUAUAACUCAAAUACGCAUAAAACAACGUCGAACCUUAAGUGUGCAGACCCUGCGGGUUCGAGAACUAUGUAGACAUGACCCGAGUGACUCCUCGGUCAAUAUCCAAUAGCGGGACCUGGAUGCCCAUAUUGAAUCCAACAUAUUCUACGAAGAUCUUAUCGUUUGAACCUCAGUGCCAAGGAUUCAUAUAAUCCCGUAUGUCAUUCCCUUUGUCCUUCGGUAUGUUACUUGCCCAAGAUUCGAUCGUCAGUAUCCGCAUACCUAUUUCAAUCUCGUUUACCGGCAAGUCUCUUUACUCGUUCCGUAAUACAAGAUCCCGCAACUUACACUAAGUCACAUUGCUUGCAAGGCUUGUGUGUGAUGUUGUAUUACCGAGUGGGCCCCGAGAUACCUCUCCGUCACACGGAGUGACAAAUCCCAGUCUCGAUCCAUACUAACUCAACGAACACCUUCAGAGAUACCUGUAGAGCAUCUUUAUAGUCACCCAGUUACGUUGAGACGUUUGAUACACACAAAGCAUUCCUCCGGUGUCAGUGAGUUAUAUGAUCUCAUGGUCAUAGGAACAAAUACUUGACACGCAGAAAACAGUAGCAACAAAAUGACACGAUCAAUAUGCUACGUCUAUUAGUUUGGGUCUAGUCCAUCACGUGAUUCUCCUAAUGACGUGAUCCAGUUAUCAAGCAACAACACCUUGUUCAUAAUCAGAAUACCCUGACUAUCUUUGAUCAACUGGCUAGCCAACUAGAGGCUUGCUAGGGACAGUGUUUUGUCUAUGUAUCCACACAUGUAUAUAAGUCUUUAUUCAAUACAAUUAUAGCAUGGAUAAUAAACGAUUAUCUUGAUACAGGAAUUAUAAUAAUAACUAUAUUUAUUAUUGCCUCUAGGGCAUAAUUCCAACAAUGUCGUCGUUCUUCCUUCCAUGGUUAAGUGUGUUGUGAUAUCGGCAGCGCACGACAUCUUGCGACGGGACGCCUGGGCGGCGGCCUCGGAUGGCGGUCCACAUGGUUGCUUUUUGGCAGGCAUCACUGCGGUGGUGGUAGCUUCCUUCCCGGGUUGUGUGGGCAAUGGGACGUAUUGCGACAGGUAGCUCAGACGUGUCCUGUCUCUCGAUGGGGCAGCGUCCUGAUCUGGAUCUAGGGGUGUGACAUCGUCACGCUCUUUGCGACAACCUCCUGGUUGCACGGGUGAGUUUCCGAGCGCAUCUUUGAGGCUUGGCACCGAUGAUGACGACACGUGAGGAUGAUGCACUCUUCUUGAAGAGGUCAUUGUGGUUCUUUUCUCCGUGUUAGAGCUUUGGGUGAAGACCUUUGUCUGAUGUGUACUCGGCAGCGGCGGCGCUUUGCAUCGUUCUCCAUUUUAAGAGCAUUGUCGUGGAGUUUAGGUGUGGUACGUGAUGGUAUUUAGUUCUUCCCGUGCUCGAUGCUGGUAGCGUUUUUUUUUCAAAAAGGAGGCAUCGCCCUGGCCUCUGCAUCGAGUGAUGCAUGCAACCAUUUAUUAAGUACGAAAUCAGUGUGAAAGAAUUACAAAGUAGUCCCAAAAACAGAAGAAAAAAAGGAUUUACAAGGCGACCAUAACGCCAACACCGAUGAUAUCAAUAGGCGUAGAUGACUAACGACCUAUUCUAUCAGCAUGUCGCCAUCCAUAUCGGCUGAAGAUAACCUGAGCUACCAUCUUCCGUCGGGCACAACCAGUAACCAAAGGCUCCCUGGUUUCCACAGGAGUGAGUAAGGACCACAUGCGGAUCAAGGCGGUAGCCCUGAAGGUGACAUGCAAAAAAUUAAUAUAGUGUUGUCUGUUAAAAACUAGAUCAUUUCUGCAGUUCCAUAUAGCCCACAAAAGAGCACAAGUUCCAACUCGAAUUAGUUUGGUGUAAGAAACAUUACCCCUUCCAGCCACGUCCCAAAUAACAUGUUAAUGCUAGUAUGUGGGGCAAUGUUAAAAGUAAUAUGGAUUGAGCGCCAUAAGAGUUUAGCCAUAGGACAGUCCAGAAAGAGGUGCUUAAUUGUUUCAUGCGUCUGACAGAAGCUACAUCUUCGAUUUCUCUUGACCAAGUUAUCCUUAGUUAAAACAACUCCUUUGUGAACAAACCACAUAAAGAUUUUUAUCUUAAGGGGAACUUUGACCUUUCAUAUAUGCAUUGAUUUUGGAAUAGGUGAGGUAUCAAUAAUAUGGUCAUACAUUGAUUUCACCGAGAAUGUACCAUUGGAGGUCAGCCUCCAAGUAGUACUAUCAGGACAAUCAGAGAGGCUAACAUCCAUUAGCCUUCUGACUAGAUGUAGCCAUGUAACCCAUCUAUUGCCAACUAAGGAUCUACGAAACUGAAUGUUAAGAGGAGUCUCACGUAACACUGCCGCAACGGACGUCUGUCUGCGUUGGGCAAUAUUAUACAGUUGCGGAUACUGAAGAGCUAGGGGCUCGUCUCCUAACCAAGUAUCCUCCCAGAAUCUAGUUUUUUCACCAUUGCCUAUGAUAAAUCUAGUCCUAUUAAAGAAAGCAGUUUUUGUCCUCAUGAGACCCUUCCAAAAAGGUGAAUCUCCCAGUCUCAUGGUGACCUGAUCUAAGGUUUUUGCUGUAGAUACUUGUUCUUGAGAAUUUGUAUCCACAUACCUUCUGAUUCCACAGACAGUCUGAAUAGCCACUUGCUAAGCAGACACCUGUUCUUAACCUCUAAAUUUUUAAUCCCCAAACCUCCCUGAUCCUUGGGUAUACAAAUAAUAUCCCAUCUAGCCAGCCUAUAUUUGGUCUUGACCUCAUCGCUCUGCCAGAAAAAUCGAGAUCGGUAAAAAUCCAACCUUUUCCGCACCCCAACUUGCACUUCAAAAAGGAUAGAAGAAACAUUGGCAUGCUUGUCAACACUAAGUUGACAAGAACCAAUCGUCCUCUGUAGGAUAGUAGCUUUCCCUUCCAGCAGCUCAGUUUUUUUUCAAAACAAUCCUCGAUACACUUCCACUCCUUAAUGGUCAACUUUCGGUGGUGGAUAGGGAUCUCUAAGUAUGUAAAUGGUAACUUACCACCCUCACAACCAAAGAGUUCAUUAUAAGUGAGUUGUUCUGCUUUUGCAUCCCCAAAACAGAAGAGUUCACUUUUAUGAAAGUUAAUCUUCAGCCCAGAUAGUUGUUCAAAUAAGCAUAAUAUGAGUUUCAUGUUUCUGGCUUUUUUGAGAUUGUGUUCCAUGAAAAGGAUCCUGUCAUCCGCAUAUUGUAGGAUAGAGACACCCCCAUCAACUAGAUGUGGCACUAGUCCCCCUACUAAGUCUUUGUCAUUAGCCCUCCUGAUCAUUAGCGCCAACAUAUCCGCAACAAUGUUAAAAAGAAUAGCUGACAUAGGGUCUCCUUGUCUAAGUCCCUUUAGUGUCUGAAAGAAAUGACCCACAUCAUCAUUUACUUUAGUACCGACACUGCCCUUUUUUAUAAAACAAUCGAUAUGUUUUCGCCAAAUCUCGCGAAACCCCUUCAUAUGUAGAGUUUGUUGCAGGAAAGACCAUUUGACUUUGUCGUAAGCCUUUUCGAGAUCUACCUUAAAUAAGACUCCAUGAAGCUUCUUGGAGUGCAGUUCAUGAAGGGUCUCAUGCAGUACGACAACCCCUUCAAGUAUAUUCCGACCAGGCAUGAAGGCCGUCUGCGAAGAUUGCACCACAGAAUGCGCCAUCUUAGUUAGCCUAUCAGUUCCCACCUUUGUGAAAAUUUUGAAGCUAAUGUUCAGCAGACAGAUGGGACGAAAUUGUUCAAUUCGUGAAGCACCCUCUUUCUUUGGUAACAACGUUAUCGUACCAAAAUUGAGAUGAAAGAGUUGUAGGUGUCCGGAGAACAGAUCAUGAAACAUAGAUAUAAGAUCUUCCUUAAUAAUAUGCCAACAUUUCUUAUAAAACUCAGCUGGGAACCCAUCCAGCCCGGGAGCUUUACCGCUUUCAUAUCCUCAAUCGCAUGUAACACCUCUUUCUCUAGGAAUGGAGCGGAUAAACUCUCAUUGUCGGCUUGUCGACUUGAGGAAUAUCCGCGACCUGAUGCUCGUCCAUAGACACAAAACUAUAAGCCGGAGCACCGAACAACCGUUUAUAGUAGUUUGUGAUAUACAAUUUUAGAUUCUCAUGACCUACUAUUGUACCCUCAUCUUGCUCUAGCUGUAAGAUUCUCUUUUUCCUAUGCUUGCCAUUUGGAAUCAAGUGGAAAAAAAUUUGUGUUGUUAUCCCCUUGGACAAUUUCCCUAACUUUGGCUCUAACAGCCCAUUUCAUUUCCUCCUCUCGAAGGAGGACUCGAACUCUUUGUUCGCCCUCGUUCUUUAACGACCUUUCGUGUUCAUCCAACAUGCGAGUCUCUACCUUACAAUCCAGAGCAUCUAUGAAUUGGAGCAGUCUGUCUUGCUCAUCCUUAUAAAUCCCACAGACAUUCUUAGCCCAACCUCUCAAGAAUUGUCUAAGGUGCCGGAUUUUAUUUUGCCAGAUGUCAACACUAGACUUCCCACCCGCAUCCUUGGUCCAUUCCCUAGCAAUUAUGUCCAUAAACCCCUCACGUGUGAACCAACUUGAUUCAAAGGAGAAAGCAUAUUUUUUCCCCUUGUGGGUGGCCUAGCCAGAAUCUAGCAGAAGUGGAGUAUGGUCAGAUAUAGCCCUCUGAAGUGCACAAACUGUGACUAGCGGGAACUUCUAUUCCCAGUCAACACUAGUAAGUAGCCUGUCCAAUUUUUCAAAAGUCUGAUUAUGUAGAGAGUUGGAUGAUACGUCCAUUUUGCAUCAUGCUUUCAUGUUGAUAUUUAUUGCUUUUUGGGCUGUUAUAUUACUUGUGAUACCAUAUUUAUGCCUUUUCUCUCUUAUUUUGCAAGGAUUAUUUGAAGAGGGAGAAUUCAGGCAGCUGGAAUUCUGGACUCGAAAAGGAGCAAAUCCUAGUCCACUAUUCUGCACAUCUCCAAAUGCCCUAAAAAUUUACGUGGAUUUUUUCUGGAAUAUAUUAAAAAUACUGGGCGAAAGAACUACCGGAGGGGGGCCACCAGGGCCCCACAAGCUUGCCCACCGCCACCACCCCCCUGGUGGCGCAGGGCAGGCUUGUGGGCUUCCUGAAGGCCCACUAGCCCCCCUCUUUUGCUAUAUGAUGCGUCCUGACUUGGAAAAAAAUCAUAAGGGAGCUUUUUCGUGGUUUCGCUGCCGCCACGAGGUGGAACUUGAGCAGAACCAAUCUAGGGCUCCGGCAGGACGAUCCUGCCGGGGAAAUUUCCCUCCCGGAGGGGGGAAUCGUCGCCAUCGUCAUCACCAACACUCCUCUCGUCGGAGGGGAGGCAUCUUCAUCAACAUCUUCAUCGGCACCAUCUCCUCUCCAAUCCCUAGUUCAUCUCUUGUAACCAAUCUUCGUCUCACGACUCCGAUUGGUACUUGUAAGGUUGCUAGUAGUGUUGAUUACUCUUCAUAGUUGAUGCUAGUUGGAUUAUUUGGUGGAAGAGUUUAUGUUCAGAUCUUUGAUGUUAUUCAUUACACCUCUGGUCAUGAUUAUGAUUAUGUCUUGUGAGUAGUUACUUUUGUUCCUGAGGACAUGGGAUAAGUCAUGCUGAUAAUAGUCAUGUGAAUUUGAUAGUCGUUCGGUAUCUUGAUAUGAUGUAUGUUGUUUUCCUCUAGGGGUGUUAUGUGAACGUCGACUACAUACACCAUAUUUGGGCAUAGAGGAAGGCAUUGGGAAGUAGUAAGUAGAUUGUGGGUUGCUGGAGUGAAAGAAGCUUAAACCCAGUCUAUGCAUUGCUUCGUGAGGGGCUGAUUUGGAUCCACUAGUUUAAUGCUAUGGUUAGACUUUGUCUUAAUUCUUAUUUUGUAGUUGCGGAUGCUUGCGAGAGAGGUUAAUCAUAAGUGGGAUGCUUGUCCAAAUAAGGGCAGUACCCAAGCGCCAGUCCACCCACAUAUCAAACUAUCAAAGUAACGAACGCGAAUCAUAUGAACAUGAUGAAACUAGCAUGACAGAAAUUCCCGUGUGUCCUCGGGAGCGUUUUUCCUCCUAUAAGACUUUGUUCAGGCUUGUCCCUUGCUACAAAAGGGAUUGGGCCACUUGUUGCACCAUUGCUACCACUUGUUACUUGUUACUAUUUGCUUGCUUCGUUUUACCUCGCUACACAAUUACCUGUUACCGCUACUUUCAGUGCUUGCAGUUAUUACCUUGCUGAAAUCCGUUUAUCACAGCCUUCUGCUCCUCGUUGGGUUCGACACUCUUACUUAUCGAAAGGACUACGAUUGAUCCCCUAUACUUGUGGGUCAUCAAGACUCUUUUCUGGCACCGUUGCCGGGGAGUGAAGCGCCUUUGGUAAGUGGAAAUUGGUAAGGAAACAUUUUUAUAUUGUGCUAAAAUUUAUUGUCACUUGUCACUAUGGAAACUCUUCCUUUGAGGAGUUUGUUCAGGGUAUCUUCACAAUGAACGGAAGCACGAGGAGUUGCUCCUCAACCUGAGGUACUUACUGAAAAUAUCUUUUAUGAAAUUCCUUUGGGUAUGCUUGAGAAACUGCUGGCUAAUCCUUUCACAGGAGAUGGAUCUUCACAUCCAGACAUUCAUCUAAUCUAUGUAGAUGAAGUUUGUGGCUUAUUUAAGCUUGCAGGUUUGCCCGAGGAUGAGGUAAAGAAGAAAGUCUUUCCUUUAUCUUUGAAGGAUAAGGCGUUGACAUGGUAUAGGCUAUGUGAUGAUGCUUGAUCAUGGGGCUACAAUCGGUUGAAAUUAGAAUUUCAUCAAAAGUUCUAUCCUAUGCAUUUAGUACAUCGUGAUCGGAACUUUAUUUAUAACUUUUGGCCUCGUGACAGGGAAAGCACAUCUCAAGCUUGGGGGAGGCUUAAAUCAAUGCUAUAUUCAUGCCCCAAUCAUGAGCUCUCGAGAGAAAUCAUCACUCAAAACUUUUAUGCUCGGCUUUCUCAUGAAGAUCGUACCAUGCUUGACACUUCUUGUGCCGGUUCUUUUAUGAAGAAGGAUAUUGAUCACAAGUGGAAUUUAUUGGAGAGAAUCAAACGCAACUCUGAAGAUUGGGAGCUGGAGGAAGGUAAGGACUCAGGUAUGAAUUUCUAGUUUGAUUGCGUUAAAUCUUUUGUUGAGACAAACACUUCUAGAGAUUUUAGCACUAAGUAUGGACUUGAUUCUGAGAUAGUAGCUUCUCUAUGUGAAUCUUUUGCUGCUCAUGUUGAACUUCCCAAAGAGAAGUGGUUUAAAUAUCAUCCUCCUGUAGAAAGCAACAUAGGCAAAACCAAUCUAGUUGAGGAGAAAAUCAUAGCUUUUAGUGAUCCUGUUGUUCCUUGUGCUUACAUUGAGAAACCACCAUACCCUGCUAGAGUGAAGGAUUAUUCUAAAGCUCCAACUGUGAUACGUAGGGGUUACAUUAGACCACUUGCACCCCCUAAGGAGAUUAGAGUUGAACCUAGUGUUGCUAUUAUCAAAGAUCUCUUAGCCGAAGACAUAGACGGGCAUGUUAUCAAAUUCUAUGAGGACUCUGCUAGAAUUGCUAAACAUCACGCGAAAGACAAGCACGGACCUGUAGUUGGCCUGCCCGUUGUUUCUGUUAAGAUAGGAGAUCACUGUUACCAUGGUUUAUGUGAUAUGGGAUCUAGUGUUAGUGCAAUACCCCGUUCUCUCUAUGAUGAAAUCAAAGAUGAGAUUGCACCUGCUGAGAUAGAACCCAUUGAUGUAACUAUCACGCUAGCUAAUAGAGACACUAUCUGCCCUUUGGGAAUUGUAGAGACGUAGAAGUCGUGUGUGGUACGACGAAGUAUCCUACUGAUUUCCUCGUCCUUGGUACUGAAAAGAUAGCUUUUGUCCCAUCAUAUUUGGUAGACCCUUUCUCAACACUGUCAAUGCUCACAUUGAUUGCAUUAAGCAGACUGUCACAGUAUGUUUCGAGGGUGCGUCUCAUGAAUUUAACUUCUCCAAGUUUGGUAGACAACCCCAUGAAAGAGAGUCAUCUGGUAGGGAUGAAAUCAUUGCUCUUGCCUCUAUUGCCGUACCUCCUACAGAUCCUUUAGAGCAAUAUCUGCUUGAGCAUGAAAAUGAUAUGCAUAUGGAGGAGAGAGAUGCGAUAGAUAGAAUUGUCUUAGAACAACAUCCUAUUCUCAAGAAUAAUCUGCCUGUUGAACUGCUUGGGGAUCCUCCCCCACCAAAGGGUGAUCAUGUGCUCGAGCUUAAACAGUUGCCUGAUACUCUUAAGUAUGCCUAUCCGGAUGAGAAGGAGAUAUAUCCUGUCAUUAUUAGUGCUCUCCUCUCAGAGCGUGAAGAGAAGAAGUUACUAAAAACUCUGAGGAAGCACCGCGCUGCUAUUGGAUAUACACUUGAUGAUCUUAAGGGUAUUAGUCCUACUCUAUGUCAGCACAAGAUUAAAACCGAUCCUGACUUUAAACCAGUUGCUGAUCAUCAAAUGAGAUUAAAUCCUAAGAUGAAAGAGGUCGUUAGAAAAGAAAUAUUAAAGAUUCUGGAAGCAGGAAUCAUUUAUCCUGUUGCUCAUAGUGAUUGGGUAGGUCUAGUACAUUGCGUACCUAAGAAGGGAGGUAUCACCGUCGUUCCUAAUGAUAAGGAUGAACUAAUCCCACAAAGGAUUAUUACCGGCUAUAGAAUGGUGAUAGACUUUCGGAAAAUGAACAAGGCAACCAGGAAAGAUCAUUAUCCUUUGUCGUUCAUCGACCAAAUGCUAGAAAGGCUAUCAAAACACACACACUUCUGCUUUCUAGACGGUUAUUCAGGUUUCUCGCAAAUACCUGUUGCACAAUCUGAUCAAGAGAAAACCACUUUCACCUGCCCUUUCGGUACCUUUGCCUAUAGACGUAUGCCUUUUGGCUUAUGUAAUGCACCUGCCACCUUCCAAAGAUGUAUGAUGGCUAUAUUCUCUGACUUUUGUGAAAAGAUUGUCGAGGUUUACAUGGAUGACUUCUCCGUUUACGGGUCUUCCUUUGAUGAUUGCCUCAGCAUCCUUGAUCAAGUCUUACAGAGAUGCGAAGAAACCAACAUCGUCUUCAAUUGGGAGAAGUGUCACUUUAUGGUUAAUGAAGGUAUCGUCUUAGGACACAAAAUCUCUGAAAGAGGCAUUAAAGUUGAUAAGGCUAAGGUUGAUGCAAUUGAGAAAAUGCCUUGCCCCACAGAUAUCAGAGGUAUACGAAGUUUCCUAGGUCAUGCUGGUUUCUAUAGAAGGUUCAUUAAAGACUUCUCUAAGAUUUCUAGGCCUCUUACCAACCUCUUGCAGAAGGAUGUUCCUUUUGUUUUUGAUGAGGAUUGUGAGGAAGCCUUCGAAAUACUUAAGAAAGCUUUGAUAACCGCACCUAUUGUUCAACCACCUGACUGGAACUUGCCCUUUGAAAUCAUGUGUGACGAUAGUGAUUACGCUGUUGGUGCUAUUCUAGGACAAAGAGUUGACAAGAAGUUGAAUGUCAUUCACUACGCUAGUAAAACUCUAGACAGUGCCCAAAGAAAUUAUGCCACUAUGGAGAAGGAAUUUUUAGCACUCGUGUUUGCAUGUGAAAAAUUCAGAUCUUACAUAGUUGACUCCAAAGUCACUAUUCACUCUGAUCAUGCUGCUAUUAAGUACCUUAUGCAGAAGAAGGACGCUAAGCCUAGGCUGAUCAGAUGGGUUCUCCUGCUACAGGAAUUUGAUUUGCACAUCGUUGACCGAAAGGGUGCUGAUAACCCUGUAGUAGAUAACUUGUCUAGGCUAGAGAAUGUCCUUGAUGACCCACUACCAAUUGAUGACAGCUUUCCUGAUAGCAAUUAAAUGUCAUCCGCACUUCACUUAGUGCACCGUGGUAUGCCGAUUAUGCAAACUAUAUUGUAGCCAAAUACAUACCACCCAGUUUCAACUAUCAACAAAAGAGGAAAUUCUUCGUUGAUUUGAGACACUACUUCUGGGAUGAUCCUCACCUUUAUAAGGAAGGAGUAGAUGGUGUUAUUAGACGUUGUGUGCCUGAACAUGAACAGGGACAGAUCCUACAGAAGUGUCAUUCCGAAGCCUAUGGAGGACACCAUGCUGGAGAUAGAACUGCCCAUAAGGUAUUGCAAUCAGGUUUCUAUUGGCCCACUCUCUUCAAGGAUGCCCGUAAGUUUGUCUUGUCUUGUGACGAAUACCAAAGGAUAGGAAACAUCAGUAAGCGUCAAGAGAUGCCUAUGAACUAUUCACUUGUCAUUGAACCAUUUGAUGUCUGGGGCUUUGAUUAUAUGGGACCCUUCUCGAGUUCCAAUGGGUACACUCACAUCUUAGUUGCUGUGGAUUACGUUACUAAGUGGGUAGAAGCUAUCCCCACUAAAAAUGUUGAUCACCACACCUCUAUUAAGAUGCUUAAAGAAGUCAUAUUCCCAAGAUUUGGAGUUCCUAGAUACUUGAUGACUGAUGACGGUUCACACUUCAUUCAUGGUGUUUUCCACAAGAUGCUAGCUCAGUAUGAUGUCAACCAUAGAGUUGCAUCUCCUUAUCAUCCUCAGUCUAGUGGUCAAGUGGAGUUGAGUAAUAGGGAGAUCAAGUUGAUCCUACAAAAGACCGUCAAUAGAUCUUGAAAGAACUAGUCAAGCAAGCUUGACGAUGCACUAUGGGUUUAUAGGACUGCUUAUAAGAAUCCCAUGGGCAUGUCGCCGUAUAAAAUGGUUUACGGUAAAGCCUGUCAUUUACCUCUUGAGCUGGAACACAAAGAUUAUUGGGAAAUCAACGAGCUCAACUUUGAUUUCAAACUUGCCGGUGAGAAGCGGUUGUUUGAUAUCAGCUCGUUGGAUGAAUGGAGAGCCCAGGCAUAUGAGAAUGCCAGGUUUUUCAAGGAAAAGGUUAAGAGAUGGCACGACAAACAAAUACAGAAACGAGAGUUCAAUGUAGGUGAUUAUGUCUUGCUAUACAAUUCUCAUUUGAGAUUCUUUGCAGGCAAGCUUAUCUCUAAAUGGGAAGGUCCCUAUGUUGUCGAGGAAGUAUAUUGUUCCGGUGCCAUCAAAAUCAAUAACACGGAAGGAAAUUUUCCUUGAGUGGUAAAUGGGCAAAGAAUCAAGCAUUACAUCUCUGGUACUCCCAUAAAUGUUGAGACCAAUAUCAUCAAUGUCAUAACUCCAGAGGAGUACAUAAGGGAUGUUUAUCAGCCUGUUUUAGACCUUGAAAACGAAGAUGUAUCUGUUUCGGCAAGAAAUUGGACUCCGAUACUUUUCCAAUAGGAAAUUUCCUCACUUUUGGAAUUUUUGGAAAAUUAGAAAAAUAAAAAGCAGUCCGGAGAGCAAACGAGGAAGCCACAAGGGCCCACUCCGCCACCACCCCCCUGGUGGUGGUGCGCAAACUUGUGGGCACCUUGUGUGCCUCCCGAACUCCGUUUUCUUGCGGAGGACUCCUUCUGGCCCAGAAAAAAUCAAUAUAUAGUCGCCCGAAGGUUUUGAUCCCCGUAUCGCGUAGUUUUCCUCUGUUUUCAUUUCGAGCUUGUUGUCUGCCGCAGAUUUAGAGCAAAGAUGUCUCAGGAAUCUGUUGGGGAGAAUGAUCUUCAUCAAGUUCAUGAGGAAGUAGAUGCUGACCUGAAAAGAGUAGAAGUUACGGAAGCCAGGGACCAAGCUAAGGAGAAAACCCAAGCUAGGGAGGAAGUUCAACCUAUGUUCAACAUUGAAGACGUUGAAGGAAUAGACUUUCUCCAACCCUUCCUCCACAUGCUGUCUCCAUCCUUGAUUGAAGUCUUGAGGUUUUGCGAAACAACUCGUGCUCGCAAUAUUUCUCUUUCUCGUGAAGUUGUUUUGCUGGAAAACCAUGUCACAGAUCUCAAAGGUAUAAAUCAAAGGUUGAUAGCUCUCUUGGAAUCAAAGGCGACAACAACACCACCAUCACCGCCAAAGGAAGACAACUAAGCAUUGGUAUGGGCAAUCCCCUUGGCUUCUGCCAAGUUUGGGGGAGUUUCCCUGGUAUCGUAUCACCUUUAUAUCUUUUUCUUUUACCUUUGUUUUAGUUCUUUCCUUUUCAGUUUUUAUUUCUUCUUUUAUAGGAAUAAGUAUUUAGUUUUUAGUUUGAAUCUUUUUCUUUUGUAUCUCCCCCGAUGUAUUCGAGCUUACAAGCUAUAUAAUAAAGAGUGUCAUAGUCAAGGGCUUUGCUUUGUGCCAUGAUCAAAAGUAUGAAAAGAACGAUAGCAUGAAAGAUCAUGGGACGAUCUUAUGGAAAGUGAUAACUUCACAUAUGACAAGUAUGAUGAUUGAAACUUGUUGAGAAUAAAUUAACAUAGACCUCAGUCAUUGUUGCAAUUAAUAAGAAGUAAUAAGGAAAGAGAGGUUCACAUAUAAAUAUAUCAUCUUAGACACUUUUUACAAUUGUGAGCACUCACCAAACUAUUACAUGCCUAGGAGUAGAUGUUGGACAAGGAAGACAACAUAAUGAAUUGUGUUUGCUUGGUUCCAAACAAUGUUAUAUGAUUAGAGAUCCCUUAGCAUGUGACGAUUGCUUCCACCUCAUAUUAGCCAAAACUCCCGCACCAAGUAGAGAUACUACGUGUGCAUCCAUAAACCUCCAACCCAGUUUUGCCUUGAGAGUCCACCAUACCUACCUAUGGAUUGAAUAAGAUCCUUCAAUUAAGUUGUCAUCGGUGCAAGCAAUAAAAAUUGCUCUCUAAUAUGUAUGAUCUAUUAGUGUGUGGAAAAUAAGCUUUGUACGAACCUGUGAUGAGGAAGACAUAAAAGCGACAGACUGCAUAAUAAAGUUCUUUGUCAUGGGAGGCAAUAUAAAGUGACAUUCCUCCGCACUAAGAGGACACGCAUUCAAACCUCAAAAGCGCAUGACAACCUCUGCUUCCCUCUGCGAAGGGCCUAUCUUGUACCUUUACUUUUUAACCUUGUAAGAGUCAUGGUGAUCAUCACCAAUUCCCUUUUUGCCUUCGUCUUGGCUACCGUCACAUGCUUGGGAAAGAUCUAUAUUCAUAUAUCAACUUGGAGUUGAGUACUCAUGCUUUAUUAUUGUUGACUUUACCCUUGAGGUAAACUGUUGGGAGGCAAAAUUAUAAGCCCCUAUCCUCCUCUGUGUUCAGCUGAAACUUUGACACCAUGAGUACCACGUGAGUUGUAACUAUUGUGGAAAACGAAAGAGAUGAUUGAGUAUGUGGGUUUGCCUUACAAUAUCUUAUUUGACUCUUUCUGUUGUUGUGAUAAAUUGCAAUUGCUUCAAUGACUAUGGACUAUUGUUGGUUACUUCUCGGUAAGGUUUUUGCUUCAUGCUUUUCUUUGUGAAGGAAUUGUUACUUUCCCAUAAGAAUCUUUAUGAUAUAUUGUUGUUCUAUGUGUGAUCAUGAUGCCCUCAUGUCCGUAUUAUGUUUUAUUGACACCUUCGUGUUGCGGAACGUUGCAUGGGAAACAAAAAAAAAUUCCUACGCGCACGAAGACCUAUCAUGGUGAUGUCCAUCUACGAGAGGGGAUUUCCGAUCUACGUACCCUUGUAGAUCGCACAGCAGAAGCGUUAGUGAACGCGGUUGAUGUAGUGGAACGUCCUCACGUCCCUCGAUCCGCCCCGCGAACCGUCCCGCGAUCCGUCCCAUGAUCUAGUGCCGAACGGACGGCACCUCCGCGUUCAGCACACGUACAGCUCGACGAUGAUCUCGGCCUUCUUGAUCCAACAAGAGAGACGGAGAGGUAGAUGAGUUCUCCAGCAGCGUGACGGCGCUCUGGAGGUUGGUGGUGAUCUGAUCUCGGCAGGGCUCCGCCCGAGCUCCGCAGAAACGCGAUCUAGAGGAAAAACCGUGGAGGUAUGUGGUCGGGCUGACGUGGCAAAAGUUGUCUCAAAUCAGCCCUAAUACCUUUGUAUAUAUAGGUGGGAGGGGAGGGGCCUUGCCUUGAGGCUCAAGGAGCCCCAAGGGGGUCGACCGAGCCAAGGGGGGAAGUCCUCCCCUUCAAAACCGAAUCCAACUUGGAUUGAAAGGUGGAGUCCUUCUCUCCUUUCCCACCUCCCUUUUUUUCUCUUUGAUUUCUUAUCCUUUGGCGCAUAGGGCCUUCUUGGGAUGUCCCACCAGCCUACCAAGGGCUGGUGCGCCACCCCCAAGGCCUAUGGGCUUCCCCGGGGUGGGUUGACCCCCCCCCCCCCCCCGUUGAACCCCCGGAACCCAUUCGUCAUUCCCGACACAUUCCCGGUAACUCUGAAAACCUUCAGGCAAUCAAAUGAGGUGAUCCUAUAUAUCAAUCUUCAUUUCCGGACCAUUCCGGAAACCCUCGUGACGUCCGUGAUCUCAUCCGGGAAUCCGAACAACAUUCGGUAACCAACCAUAUAACUCAAAUACGCAUAAAACAACGUCGAACCUUAAGUGUGCAGACCCUGCGGGUUCGAGAACUAUGCAGACAUGACCCGAGUGACUCCUCGGUCAAUAUACAAUAGCACGACCUGGAUGCCCAUAUUGGAUCCCACAUAUUCUACGAAGAUCUUAUCGUUUUGAACCUCAGUGCCAAGGAUUCAUAUAAUCCCGUAUGUCAUUCCCUUUAUCCUUCGGUAUGUUACUUGCCCGAGAUUUGAUCGUCAGUAUCCACAUACCUAUUUCAAUCUCGUUUACCGGCAAGUCUCUUUACUCGUUUCGUAAUACAAGAUCCCGCAACUUACACUAAGUCACAUUGCUUGCAAGGCUUGUGUGUGAUGUUGUAUUACCGAGUGGGCCCCCGAGAUACCUCUCCGUCACAUGGAGUGACAAAUCCCAGUCUUGAUCCAUACUAACUCAACGAACACCUUCGGAGAUACCUGUAGAGCAUCUUUAUAGUCACCCAGUUACGUUGCGACAUUUGAUACAGACAAAGCACUCCUCCGGUGUCAGUGAGUUAUAUGAUCUCAUGGUCAUAGGAACAAAUACUUGACACGUAGAAAACAGUAGCAACAAAAUGACACGAUCAACAUGCUACGUCUAUUAGUUUGGGUCUAGUCCAUCACGUGAUUCUCCUAAUGACGUGAUCCAGUUAUCAAACAACAACACCUUGUAUAUAAUCAGAAGACCCUGACUAUCUUUGAUCAACUGGCUAGCCAACUAGAGGCUUGCUAGGGACAGUGUUUUGUCUAUGUAUCCACGCAUGUAUAUAAGUCUUCAUUCAAUAGAAUUAUAGCAUGGAUAAUAAACGAUUAUCUUGAUACAGGAAUUAUAAUAAUAACUAUAUUUAUUAUUGCCUCUAGGGCAUAAUUCCAACACUUCGUCCCCAAACAUGUGGACAUGUUUUUGGAACUUGGUUUUCGCUUCAGGACAAGCGAGGUCUAAGCUUGGGGGAGUUGAUACGUCCAUUUUGCAUCAUGCUUUCAUGUUGAUAUUUAUUGCUUUUCGGGUUGUUAUAUUACUUGUGGUACCAUAUUUAUGCCUUUUCUCUCUUAUUUUCUAAGGAUUAUUUGAAGAGGGAGAAUUCAGGCAGCUGGAAUCCUGGACUCGAAAAGGAGCAAAUCCUAGUCCACUAUUAUGCACAUCUCCAAAUGCCCUAACAAUUUACGUGGAUUUUUCUGGAAUAUAUUAAAAAUACUGGACGAAAGAACUACCGGAGGGGAGCCACCAGGGCCCCACAAGCUUGCCCAUCGCCACCACCCCCCUGGUGGUGCACGGCAGGCUUGUGGGCUGCCUGAAGGCCCACUAGCCCCCCUCUUUCGCUAUAUGAUGCGUCCUACCCUGGAAAAAAUCAUAAGGGAGCUUUUUCGUGGUUUCGCCGCCACGAGGCGGAACUUGAGCAGAUGCAAUCUAGGGCUCCGGCAGGACGAUCCUGCCGGGGAAAUUUCCCUCCUGAAGGGGGGAAUCGUCGCCAUCGUCAUCACCAACACUCCUCUCCUCUGAGGGGGGGCAUCUUCAUCAACAUCUUCAUCAGCACCAUCUCCUCUCCAAUCCCUAGUUGAUCUCUUGUAACCAAUCUUUGUCUCACGACUCCGAUUGGUACUUGUAAGGUUGCUAGUAGUGUUGAUUACUCUUCGUAGUUGAUGCUAGUUGGAUUAUUUGGUGGAAGAGUUUAUGUUCAGAUCUUUGAUGCUAUUCAUUACACCUCUGGUCAUGAUUAUGAUUAUGUCUUGUGAGUAGUUACUUUUGUUCCUGAGGACAUGGGAUAAGUCAUGCUGAUAAUAGUCAUGUGAAUUUGAUAUUCGUUCGGUAUUUCGAUAUGAUGUAUGUUGUUUUUCCUCUAGUGGUGUUAUGUGAACGUCGACUACAUAACACUUCACCAUAUUUGGUCCUAGAGGAAGUCAUUGGGAAGUAGUAAGUAGAUGGUGGGUUGCUGGAGUGACAGAAGCUUAAACCCCAGUCUAUGCGUUGCUUCGUGAGGGGCUGAUUUGGAUCCACUAGUUUAAUGCUAUGGUUAGACUUUGUCUUAAUUCUUCUUUUGUAGUUGUGGAUGCUUGCGAGAGAGGUUAAUCAUUAGUGGGAUGCUUGUCCAAGUAAGGGCAGUACCCAAGCGCCGGUCCACCCACAUAUCAAACUAUCAAAGUAACGAACGCGAAUCAUAUGAACAUGAUGAAACUAGCAUGACAGAAAUUCCCGUGUGUCCUUGGGAGCGUUUUUCCUCCUAUAAGACUUUGUUCAGGCUUGUCCCGUGCUACAAAAGGGGUUGGGCCACUUGCUGCACCAUUGCUACUACUUGUUACUUGUUACUCUUUGCUUGCUUUGUUUCACCUCGCUACACAAUCACCUGUUACCGCCACUUUCAGUGCUUGCAGUUAUUACCUCGCUGAAAUCCGUUUAUGAGAGCCUUCUGCUCCUCGUUGGGUUCGAACUCUUACUUAUUGAAAGGACUACUAUUGAUCCCCUAUAGUUGUGGGUCAUCAUUGGUCCAAGUAUAUUUCCUACCUGAGAGGUCAAUCUCCCGUAGGUUUAGGCUCUCUAUAAUUGUGUUGAACAUAAAAGGCCAUCUGCCAUCAAAGUUAUCAUUGUUUUUCUCAUCAGCUCUCCUGAUGAUAUUGAAAUCACCACCUACCACCAGCGGUAAAGUGUGAUCGCAAAUUCGAACCAGAUCAGUAAGAAAGGCUAGCUUUUGCUCCGUCUGGGCAACACCAUAAACCGCAACAAGAGCCCAUUGAAACCCAUCUCCCUUGGUUCUAAUCCGAAAUUUGACCGAGAACUCCCCUAGCCCCACUUCUCGUACUUGAAGUGUAUUGCAACGGACACCAAGUAAGAUCCCUCCGGACCUUCCUCUUGGAGGGAGACAAUGCCAGUCAAAUUCAACUCCUCCUGAGAGGGAGUUUAGAAAUUGCGAUGUGAAAUUAUCCCGCCCCGUCUCCAUCAGCGCGAUGAAUUCAAGACUAUGCUCUAACGUUGUUUCUGCAAGGAACCGAAUUUUAGCCAAGUCUUUGAGACCUCUGCUAUUCCAAAAAAUCCCUUUCAUUUUUCAUCAUAAAAUUUUUAGCAGUCUUGAAUCUAGCACUCCUACGUACUGCAGAAACUGUAUAGACCCUCCGUUUCGAAGUUUGUUUUGGCUUUUCAGAAGCAUACUCCUGGUCCAUAUAACCAGGCAUGUCUUUGUCACCAUCAUUAAGUUGAUCAUUAGGUUGUUGGUUAUCAUACAAUACCACCUGUGGCUCUUCUAUAUCCUCAGGUGGGACUAAAUUUUCACAAAGUAAAUUCAGACCUCCAUAUUAGAUAUCGCCGCAUCAUUCAUUGGUUGUAUUGCAGCUAAGUUACGAAUAAUAUCCAAAGCCCUAUCAACUUCUAAGUCCAAUAAGUCGUUAAUAGAUUUGGAAACUUCUUUGCUAGUGUUACCCAAGGUGACCCCCACAGAGGUAGCAUUAUCUAAUAUAUCUUGCGAUGAAAAAUGAAGAAUGGAAUGCUCUGUAUUGAUAGACAUACCUGUCGAAUUCAGAACCUCCUUCAUUUUAGCAACCUGCAUAGCCCGUCCAAUCUGCAAGUCAUCCGCGUCUGGCUGAGACUGUACCUGUUGACUAGCCCGUCUAUCCGAACCCAUCGGAUUGGGAACUCCUCCAAAUGCUAUGACUUCGUCAACACAGAUCGCUACCGACUGUGGUGUACGAACAGUCGCGGGAACAGCCUCCACACCCAUCUUAGGCAGAAAAGUUGGUUCAGCCAAAGAGACUAAAGUCUCCUCACCCGUUCCUCCUAGUGCGGCAGUGCACAUGGCCUCGCCCAGCUCGGCACCUAAACCUCCCCCUGUGCAGAGCCCGCUGCCAGCCGGUAGACCGGCGAUGGUUGCUCGUGCUGGCUUUGCUGAUGCUGGUGAGUUUCCGCCAUGCACCAUGGGGUAGCCAGCAGCUACAACUGAAGUGUGAACAUCCCUCACAGCCUCGACCAUAGGCAUGGCCAGGAUAGGAAUGGGAGUAGGAGCAGCAUGAGCAGAUUCCUUCGGUGCAGCAGUGCACAGUGGCGCAGCCAGCUUGCCAGGGCCUCCCCCGUGCAUAGACCGCCGCGAGUCUGUAUGCCACCGACGUCAGCCUGUGCUGGCUAUGCUGUCGCUGGUGUAGUCCCACCCAUCGCCGCGAUGGAGCCAGCAGCUACAGCUGCAGCGCCUACAGCCAGCCCAUCCUCGACUCUAGGCGUGGCCUGGAAAGCAAAAUCAGCAUCCAGCACACGAACGCCCUCGAUCCCGCCGAUAACAUGUACUGGUUCAGACUUGAAAGCGAGGCGUUCGAACCCAGACUGGUUGCUAACUGACUUUGCUUCCGCCAAAUACUCCUCCAAAAAACUGGUUGCAACAUAGUAGUAGACUGCACAAUACCCAUGUUGCUCCCGGGAUUCUUCCCCAGGAAUCUCGGCAGUCUAGUCCGCGAGUGGGUAUCCUUGCGCGUCGACCGAAAACCAACUUUUGCCGGCGCAGAGGCAGGUUCGAAAGAACCAAACCGCAAGUCGAGAGCAAGUGCAGAAACCAAGUGCUUUGUACGAGUGCCUGAGUUAUACAUAGACUGAUUAGGCUGUGUUUGCAAAGUCUUCUGAGAAGAAAACUUAGGCCCUGAGUCCUUUGAAGCAUUCGCAUUAUCCUUGGAACCACCCGCAUCAUCACCAUCAGUCAUGUGGAUAUCCUUAUCCGUGUCAGGUACAUCAAAUAAAGUAGGGCUCUCAAUUUCCAGCUGGAGAGUGUAACGCAUCCCCUCAUAUGUCCAAAUGACCUCAUCUAGAAUGAGCUGAAUAUCAAGAACACUCACCAGCAUCCUCGCAACGCCUUUGGCUCUAGUGAACACCAUGUCCACCUCCUCUGUUUUACCAAUAAGCGAGCCCAAACUUCACGUAACCCGAAAAUCAUUAAUUGCCCUAGAUGGAGCUCCUGCAAAGUGGACCCAAAUCUGGGGGAGAGGAACACCCUUAUGUUGGAAAUAUGCCCUAGAGGCAAUAAUAAAAUGGUUAUUAUCAUAUUUCCCUGUUCAUGAUAAUCGUCUAUUGUUCAUGCUAUAAUUGUAUUAGCAAGAAACAGUAAUACAUGUGUGAAUGAAUAGAUCACAAUGUGUCCCUAGCAAGCCUCUAGUUGGCUAGCUCGUUAGUCAAUAGAUGAUCAUGGUUUCCUGAUCAUGGGCAUUAGAUGUCAUUGAUAACGGGAUCACAUCAUUGGGAGAAUGAUGUGAUGGACAAGACCCAAUCCUAAGCCUAGCACUAGAUCGUAUUGUUUGUAUGCUAAUGCUUUUCUAAUGUCAAGUAUCUUUUCCUUCGACCGUGAGAUCGUGCAACUCCCGGAUACCGUAGGAGUGCUUUGGGUGUAUCAAACGUCACAACGUAACUGGGUGACUAUAAAGGUGCACUACGGGUACCUCCGAAAGUGUCUAUUGGGUUGGUACGAAUCGAGAUCGGGAUUUGUCACUCCGUGUGACGGAGAGGUAUCUCUGGGCCCACUCGGUAGAACAUCAUCAUGAGCUCAAUGUGACUAAGGAGUUAGUCACACGAUGACGUGCUACGGAACGAGUAAAGAGACUUACCGGUAAUGAGAUUGAACAAGGUAUAGGUAUACCGACGAUCGAAUCUCGGGCAAGUUCUAUACCGACAGACAAAGGGAAUCGUAUACGGGAUUGAUUGAAUCCUUGACAUCGUGGUUCAUCCGACGAGAUCAUCGUGGAGCAAGUGGGAGCCACCAUGGGUAUCCAGACCCCGCUGAUGGUUAUUGACCAGAGAGGUGUCUCGGUCAUGUCUGCCUGUCUCCCGAACCCGUAGGGUCUACACACUUAAGGUUCGAUGACGCUAGGGUUAUAGGGAAUUGUUGUACGAGGUUACCGAAAGUUGUUCGGAGUCCCGGAUGAGAUCCCGGACGUCCCGAGGAGCUUCAGAAUGGUCCAUAGGUAAAGAUUGAUAUAUAGGACGGAUGGUUUUGGACACCGAAGUGUUUCGGGCGUCACCGGUAACGUACCGGGACCACCGGGACCACCGGAGGUGGUCCCGGGGGACCACCGCCGGGAGGCUAGAUGGGCUAAGUGGGGAAGGGAACCAGCCCCUAGGUGGGCUGGUGCGCCCCCCACCCAGCCCAUGCGCACCAGAGAAAGGGGGGAAGGGAGGAACCCUAGCAUAGGUGGGCCUAAGGCCCACCAGAGGGGUGCGCCACCCCUCCUCCCUGCCCUGGCCGCCGCCCCUCUCCCAUCUGGGGCUGCCGCACCCCUUGGGGGUGGGAACCCUAAGGGCUGCGCCCCCUCCCUCUCCCCCUAUAUAUAGAUGAGGGUUCGGGGCUGUUUGACACACGGUUUCAUCUCUCUCUCGGCGCAGCCCUGCUCCUCUCCCUCCUCCUCUGUGUCGGCGCUUGGCGAAGCCCUGCCGGGAGACCUCGUCUCUCCACCGACACCACGCCAUCGUGUUGCUGGACUUCUUCCCCAACCUCUCCCUCCUCCUUGCUGGAUCAAGGUGCGGGAGACGUCAUCGGGCUGCACGUGUGUUGAACGCGGAGGUGUCGUUGUUCGGCACUAGAUCGGAAUGGCUGCGCGUACGACUCCAUCAACCGCGUUCUAGCAACGCUUCCGCUUAGCGAUCUUCAAAGGUAUGAAGAUGCUCUUACCCCUCUCUCGUUGCCGGUCUCUCAUAGGAAGAUCUGAACAUGCGUAAGAAAAUUUUGAAUUUAUGCUACGUCACCCAACACCUUAGGCUCCUCACAUUUCCAGGCGUCAAACUCAAGCACGCAGCUUGUGCUAGCAACUCUGCACAUACCAAACUUAAGCAAGCGAGCUAAAUCCUCCUUAGUGGGGAAAACGACCUUAAAAACAUUAUCUGAUAUCAAAACCGGUUCCCAUCAGAAAGUUGAUGAUACAAGCUCCUUGAGCUGUUGCACCACCUGCUCCACAGUCAAAAUCCCCCGAGUGAUUGUCACCGUGCCCGUGAAGCCAGCAUCUGGUGUAUGAAUUGUUGUCGUAGCAGCCGGCGACUCAAAAAACAUUAAUUCUUGACUCGAAACAUCAUAAAUGGUCACAAUCGGCAUAGGCCCAAUCAUAAAGGGACACUUAGUUGUACCAUGCGUAGGCUUCAGGCAAUACACACAGAGCUCAGGCUUACAUUCAGAAACAAAGUGCCCUACCUCACUGCAGCGAUAGCACAUCAUUUUCUCUUUCUUACGAGCCCACUUGGAGGGUCUAUCACCUCCGUCUCCUUUGGCCAUCGCAAGACUCUGAUCAGCCAGAGCAGGAUCAACCACCUCAUUAAUUGGCUCCGACAUAGUCGCCCUAGUGGACUCAUCAAUAUGUGUCGGCGACUCUUGAGUAGGCAUAGGAGGCCUCGGUUUCCUUCCUCCCCUCUGCCAGCCCAAUUCUGUCUAAAGCCACCUCUCUUCUGAUGAGUAGGUCCCGAAGUCCCCGGAACAAACUUGCCCGGAGGUGCAGUAAAACCAUUGCCACUAACACCAUUGUUUUGCCACGCGUAACCUCGCCCACCUCCAGAGGACGAUGAACCACGAAUUUGACCGUCUCCAUACGUGUUUACUCCGUCAUCGCCCCACCAGCCGCGCUAUUGAAAACGAUUAGCCUGAGCAGCCCCAGGCUCCCCCACCUGCCCGGCAGCACCUGGCGGCCUCCCCGCCUAUGCUGCAACAUGAGGUUGCCUCGCCACCUGCGCGGCAGCCGGCGCAGACGGUUUCGCAUUGGCGGGUCUAUUCCCCUGCCCCGGCGGUCGAGGUGUAGGGUGUAGCGCUGGUGGUUGCUUGGGAUUGCCCCUUCCCGCCAUAGCCCUGAAUCCGAUGCCAGGAGGAGGCGGCACCCGAGCUGCCCUCCCUGUCCCCAACGCAGGGAAACCGUGCUUAUGACGCCGAAGAACCCUAAGGUCUGGCGGCUUCGUGCAUGGGAUGGCGUCUAUGGGAGGAGGAGCCGCGGUGGAAGCUCCGCCAAGACCUACCCUUUGCACGCUAGAAACGACAGAUGCGAUCGGAGAAGCUAAGUCCUGGGCCAUAUACCCAGGAGUGUCGCUGUCCAACCUGGCCUGGUCAAAAACAGGCCUUACCGCCUGGGCCAUAUACCCAGUGUUUGUCGGGCCUACGCUAUUGGAAUCCAGCACCAAACCCGCGCCAGCACAAACCGAAUUCAGAAAUGAAUCCCUUUGGUAACGCCCCGCUAAUCUCGGCUCCGUCACAGGCGAUAACGCCGUAAUCCUCGUACCUGCCGUAUUCUUCUUCUUCCUAUUGUUCUUGACUGCACACCAGGUGCUAGGCGUGAAGAAAUCUGAUAGUGUAACCGGAGGUAGAUUCCCUUUUGGCAAGGGACCGAUCCACGGACGAACUCCCUGCUUCGUCAUGGCCUUCUUCGGGACUCGAACGUCAGGUUUGACAGUGCGUCCAAGGGCAACCGGCUCCAGUCGAUGAGCAUAAUCUUCAAGUCUUGGAGUAUCUUCUUCUCCGUAGUUGACCUCCUCUACUUCUUCAUCCGAUUCCGGAUCUGCGAGAACCCAAAAACGACCUCCAAACCGAGGAGAAUUAGAAGUAAGAUCAAUGCAUACCUUACUCUUCUCAUGAUCAACGUGUUGUGCCUCACAAAGAUCUCCAACGAUGAACUGAAAACCAUCUAUCUCCAUGGUAUGCCCAAUCUUCGGAGUUUCAUCGUCCUGCAAGUAUCUACCUGCCAAGAUGUCGUUAUCUUCAUCCCGAAUUGUAAUCCAGCGAGAUACCUGAUGAAGGUUGAUGAAACCAAAUCGCUGCACUCGAUCAGUAGACGAGGUGUCUUCGAACGACACCGCCCACUUCCGAUGAGAUGCCGCGCAGUCGUGUCGUCGCAAUCUCCGGCCGAACGGUUCCCCUCGCCGGCGCUCCCGAUGAGAGGUAGUUGAUUGCUUGCUGUAGGGGACGUAUAGAUCGCCCCUCCGAUCGCCCCUCCGAUCGCCUCAGAGGUCAUUUGCGCAAGUGGCUACCAAACACUUGCAGAUUGAUUUCACGUAGAAAAUAUAUAAUGAUGAACUUCAGAUUGGGGAAGGAGGGAGGAACUGUGAUGGGGAAGAGGGGGAUCGGCCAUCCGAUGCUGGUAUAGUGGUACCUGUUGGACACUGUCAUUGUCGAUGAUGGUCGUGUUCUGCGUGUGCCGAAGUUCGACUACAGCUGCUCAAUGAAGGAAAGUGCCAGCCAUAUGUUCCACCUCUGCACUUUUUCCUCCAACGAUUAUAGUCCAAUCUCGAACAGCUUUAUUUUGCAGGGAUGUGGCUAGUAGUUAAGACCCACAUACAAACUCUUACAACCCACGGUUUUAAAAGGUAUCUCCUUUACUCUGUGCCCUCGUCCCAAACAUUCACUAACCAAUAUGGCACCCAAACCCUCACCUCGCACACUAUUGUGACCUAAAACUCUAAAGAUGUUUCUUACUAUGAGCUCAAACUCACAAUUCUUCCCAUGUUUCUAGUUGACUGUAAUUUUUACCCAUAUGCAGGGCGAAGCGAGCAAUCUGGCAUGGCUUGGCGUCUGCCAUACCUAAAUUGCUGGAAAUGCUAGGUACAUACGUAGAUACUUGUUUGAAGAUUGAGCUGAGCAAUGCGCCCUUGCCGGCUUGAUGGGCCUUAUUGCUCCUUGUGAUAGCUACUGGCCGUGAGCCUGAUUGCUGGUGACUUAUUGAUUAGCCGCACACAUUCGUGACCUGUUAACGUUUACACUGUCUGAGCUCAAACCCAAGCGAUCAGGAGACUGUAAUCGCUCCUCUACUUAUGAUCGUGUGGAAGCGGCAAGACAAACGAACGGGCUAGCAGCUGCUAGCGAGCAGAGACCAGAUAGGGGCGAGCUGUGGCCGUCGGCUGGCAAGACGGCAACCCACAUACCAAAAAUUUGGUUGCCGUUGACUGAAAUAAGCUCCGCCAAUUCACCAUUCACAUUCAGUGUAUUCUAGUGCUGUCCCAUUGUUCCAUGACUAAUUAAUCAUUUUACUCUUGUGAUUUUAUAUAAGAAGCAUUUUUUCCAAAGCAAGUGGCACCAGCAGCUCUCCGUUUGGAUGUUUUGUACAUUAUCUUGAUGUCCGUCUAGUUAACAUUGAUGACUAAUUUACACGAAAGAAACACUGAUAACUAAUUUACCUGAAAAAUAAACAUUGAUGACUAACUGGUGACCAGUUAUGCAGGUAAUCUUGAUGUAGUAAGAUAUUAUAGGUGUGAAAACUUCAGUAUCAUAUUUUUGGUUAUACUUGUUGAUCACAAGUAAUAUUUAUGUAAUAUUCAAAUGAGCUCUUGCGUUGCAUAUGAUAUAUGGUCUCAUCCUUCACAAACUCCGCCAUACCUACAAUUUUUUUCUACCUCCGCCUGCCCGUAUGAAUAGGAAGCAUGUGGAAGUUGUUGAGAUCAAUCUGCCAUAUUGAUCUGGCACGUAAACCUAUCUUGAUUGCAGAUAUCAGUGUCAUAGAGUGUUGCUCGUUUCCUCAAGGUAGUGUCAUCUUUUACUUCGUUGUUCCAUGCGUUCCUUAAGAUGACCCCGUGUCUACGUUUGUGCAUCCUAGCCAUGAAAGUCAAACCUAUCUACACUAUGACAUUGAACACCGAAGGUGUACACCCAAAGCCCAAGACCAUCUAUCGGCUCAACGCUCAAGCGGUUAAUGAUGACUGUCAGACUCUGUAAUGUGAAUGGUGUAUAGUGGUUGCUAUAACACAGUUCAUCUCUUCCUGGAUUCACUGCCCCUCCUUUCCAUUAUCUGUGAUUUGUGAGUUCUUUUAGAUCAGCAGUGAAACAAUCACUACCAAAAACACACCCGUCUAAUAACUUAAGCUCACAUUACCCGGGCUCCACCCAAGUUGUGAUUUGUUCUGGAACCAAGCUAUGAAUUGCUUUGAGUUGUGACACGAGGUAGACGAAUCUUGUUUAUGCAUCUACGGCCUCGUCUGAACCAUCUAUAUCCACAAACAAGUGAUAUCUUCCAACUGUGUUCAAUUUGCACACUGUUCGUGCAGACAAGUUCUAUGCAAUGUGGACCGUCGUCACAAACCACUGACUUCUGUGAACUAAUCGUGCGUGCCAUGUUGCGCAUGAUCAUUUUUAGGCAGGCGUUUCUGAUAUGUUCUCCAUCGCACACGGCUGAUCUUGGGGCCCAUGGUUAUCUUCUCCAACUGUGUGUGAUGGUGUCAUUGCAAUAAAUCUAUCGCUAACACGUGUGACUGGGGGCUUAGAGCAAGUCUAGUAGAGCCCUCAAAUCCUCAAACCCUUAAAAAUAACCGUUUUUUUACAGUUUUCGUCGAAAAAACGGCGUAGACUAGAACCCUUAAACCCUUAAACCCGUAAAAAAAAUUAGAGGUCCAACCCUCAAACGCCUUCCCAGCCUGUAGAAGUGAGGGUUGGGAGAAAAAACUCCCCCAACCCGCACUCCAUUUCCACCUUCGCGCGGGAGGAAGUUGCUUCCCCGCGCGGUAGGAAUUCGCCGCCGCCGCCGUCAGCCCGUCGCCCCUCCGCGCCCCGACCGCCGCCCCGCCGCGACCCGGCCGCCCCCCUCCGCGCCCCAGCCGCCGCCCGCCCGCNAUUGGCACUAAUUGUAGCCACUUGGUAUGUAGAUGGAGGUGAACAACGACGACAUGGACUUGUUGUCCGAUUCGUCGGAUUGGUCGUCAUCCGACGAUUCGGACAUUGACGAGUUGUUGCAAGACGACGACGUCGAGAUGAUGGGCCUCCUCGCCGACGUGCAAGCGUUUGAAGACCGCGUGAAGCUUAUGGAUCGGAGGAAAGGGUCGAAGAUGGGGCGACUCACCAUCUACCGGAACCGCGCUCUCGGACACGAGCAUUUGAUAUUGACAAGAAAACAGGCUCAUUUCACCAAGGCACAAGAGGGCAGCCCGCAAAGAUAUUGAGAGAGCUUUCGGUGUUUUGCAAGCAAGGUUUGCCAUAGUUCGGGGUCCAACUCGGUUUUGGGACAAAAAAAACCUUGAUGAACAUCAUGAAAUGUUGUGUGAUUCUACACAACAUCAUCCUAGAGGAUGAGAGAGGGUUAAACAUUCCUUGUUUCUAUAACAAUGUUGGUACCCGUGUGCAACCGGAAAGAAACUCUUCUCGCAUACACGCUUUUCUUCAAGCACAUCGUGAGAUUGAGGAUGCAACCACUCAUGGUCGGCUCCAGGAUGAUCUAGUAGAGCACCACUGGCAUUUGGAUGGGCGGCGCAUUGGCCCAUGAUGUAUCUUUGUUUUACUUUUCUAUGUCCUAUUUGAUUCGAACAAUUGUUGUAAUUUGCUCAAACAUUGUUGUAAUAAUUUGAAUGAUUAUUGUUUUAUCCGGUGGUGUAAUAAUAACUAGAAUUAUUAUUGUUUUAUGUCAAAUGUGAUUGAAUUUGUGAUAUGUUAUAUGAUGAAAUGUGAUGAAAUGUGUGAUAUGCCAAAUGACAAUUUAAGGGUUGGGGUUGGGGCAAAGACUAGAACCCUCAAACCCUUAAAACUGUCAAAAAUGACCAAUUCUCAACCCUUAAAACUGGUUUUAGAUUUAAGGGUUUGAGGGUUCUACUAGACAUGCUCUUUGUGGUGAAGAUCUGAACUAAUGUCAAUAGCAAUGUAUUUGAGACUUCUGAAGAUCAAAUAAUUAGGUUCAAUCAGCUUGACUAACUAAUUAAGAAACAAGAGAUAAGUCAAGCAAAAUGGUAAUUAAUUGACUGGGACUAAGAUGACUAUAAGGUCGAAUAUUCAGUUUAGAUGGUAAGAAGUUUGUUUCCCUUUAAGAUAAUGCAAGAGGGUGGCAUGUGCAUGUUAAUAGGAAAGAGAGUUUACAACACCAGCAGGAAAACGCUCGAAUGGAAAUUGAUGUAGAAGGCUGACAUAAUGUGCGACCAGUUGUGCGUGUCCAGAGAGGUUCUCGAGUAUUGCUUGCUGAUCCUACAUAUAUUGUAGCUCUAGGGGAUGGUAACCACCAAACAACCCACGAGGGGAUUGCCGAUGUCUUCCCCAGCAGAGAAUCUGAGGACCUUGAAGCGCUUCGCAGUACUGGGUUUCCAAACGGUAUCGGCGUUAAGGAACGUCAACAGUGAGCCGAAGAAAGUCUGGUAAACAGAACUGGCUGAGUAAAAUUCUUGAGGCCUCCCAUCCCCACAACCAGUUGUGAUCGAACUCGUGCUGGCAAGAGGUUUGAAUGGAGGAGAUACAUAUGUAGGGCGCUGGACAUCUGUGACACUACAUAAGCUCUUCACAUAUAUAUAGUUAACCACCUCUCUCUCCCUCUCAUACACGCACACACAUGUGAAUAGUAAAGUGUGGUCCAAUUUAUCUAUAUGAGAAAAUAACAAUCAACCACCCUAGAUGAAUUCGGUGGUUGAUUGUUAUUUCCUCAUAUAGAUGAAUUAGACCACACUUCACAUGUUCAGAUGUGUGUGUAUGAGAGAGAAACGUGGUUAACUACACAACAAAACUUAUAUCACAUGCUUAUCCAAAACUGUUCAUGCUCAAAGACCAAUGCUAGAAAGGGCAUGUGUGCUGAAUACUCCUGUCAUCAUAGGUCAUAGGCUGCUGUUUUGGUCCACUGCUUUGUAAAAAACCCCACAUGUCUUCCUCUUUGAUAAUUGACAUCAUCCAAAAUUCAAGAAAUAGAAACCUUAUCUAUAAGAAAGUUCGAAUCUCGAUGCAAACAAAGGGUUCAGAUAGCAACAACCCUAGCUAGUGUUGAUAGCAAAUCCAUGCUCUCUCUCUCUCUCUCUAUAUAUAUAUAUAUAUAUAUUACGCUAUUCGUCACCCUGGGUGAGAAAUAGUUAUUCUUUACCCCUCUAUUUCAACAUCAAUGCAUCGUAAUUUUACUUUUCGCAAAUUUUAUCUUAUUUUAUACAUAAAAAGAGAUCGUAAAAAAAAUUAUAAUCACUGUAAAAAAUAUUUUUGCUACGUAAAAUUAUGAAUGUAAAAACAUAGUAAAAACUAUACAUAAAAUGCAAUUUUUCUGAUUUUAUGGUCUAUAUUUUUGUUUUCUUAUGCCAAAUUUUACAUAGU